rnacentral:lncRNA from 1 species
UCACCCAUCGUAGUACUACUCUCGCCCAAGCACGCUUAACUGUAGAGUUCUGAUGGGAUCCGGUUCAUUAUUGCUGGUAUGAUCGCAUCCGUUACUACAUGCAAUGCAAUCGUAUCUAUUCUUUUUUGAAGACUUUAUGAUCCAUUUGCCGUGGGUCCCACCAGCUAUGUUGGAAUACCCUAUCUUGUUUAUAAGAGCUUUGUUACAUGCAAAAUAUUCGAAAACAAUGUCCGAACAUAUAAUAUUUGCCCCGUAAUAUAGCAAAGAUCACGAAAAGGCCAGAAAACCUAUAUUAAGUUCAAAAUUUGGAGUAGAAAAAAACCAAUAGAAGAAUUCCAUUUUCCUUCCUCACUCAUCGGAGAGCUCUCUUUGGGGCUUUCCGAAAAGGUAUCACAUGCAAAGUUUGGCCUCACAGGCUAAAAGUUAUAGAGUCGUACAUUUUUAACAAAAAAAAAAAGAGAAAAGCCGAAAAAAAGAAGGAUGCAACACAAGGACUUUCCGGGAGGUCAGCCAUCCUAAUAUUACUCUCGCCCAAGCACGCUUAACUGUAGAGUUCUGAUGGGAUCCGGUGCAUUAGUGCUGGUAUGAUCGCAUCUGUUACUACAUGCAAUGCAAUCGUAUCUAUUCUUUUUUUAAGACUUUAUGAUCCAUUUACCGUGGGUCCCACCAGCUACGUAGGAAUAACCUAUCUUAUUUAUAAGAGCUUUGAUACAUGCAAAAUAUUCGAAAACAAUGUCCGAACAUAUAAUUUUCGUCCCGUAAUAUAGCAAAGAUCACAAAAAGGCCAGAAAGAGUACAUUAAGGUCAAAAUUUUGGAGUAGAAAAAAAAACCCUUCCUCAUUCAUUAAAGAGCUCUCUUUGGCAUUUCCGAAAAGGUGUCACAUGCCAAGUUCGGCCUCACGGUCUAAAAGUUAUAGAGUCAUACAUUGUUAACAAAAAAAAAGAGAAAAACCGAUUAAAAGAGUUAUGCAACACAAGGACUUUCCUGGAGGUCACCCGUCCUAGUACUACUCUCGCCCAAGCACGCUUAAAUGCGGAGUUCUGAUGGGAUCCGGUCCAUGAGUGGUGGUAUGAUCACAUCCGUUACUACAUGCAAUGCAAUCGUAUCUAUUAUUUUUUGAAGACUUUAUGAUCCAUUUGCCGUGGGUCCCACCAGCUAUGUAGGAAUACCCUAUCUUGUUUAUAAGAGCUUUGAUACAUCCAAAAUAUUCGAAAACAAUGUUGGAACGUAUAAGUUUCGCUCAGUAAUAUAGCAAAGAUCACGAAAAGGCCACAAAAAGUACAUUAAGGUAAAAAUUUAGAGUAGGAAAAAAAAACAAUAGGAGAAUUCCAUGUUCCUUCCUCAAUCAUCGGAGAGCUCUCUUUGGGCUUUCCAAAAAGGUAUCACAUGCCAAGUUUGGCCUCACGGUCUAAAAGUUAUAGAGUCAUACAUUUUUAACAAAAAAAAAUAGAGAAAAACCAAAAAAAAGAGGGAUGCAACACGAAGACUUUCCUGGAGGUCACCCAUCCUAGUACUACUCUCGCCCAAGCACGCUUAACUGCGGUGUUCUGAUAGGAUCAAGUGCAUUAGUGCUGGUAGGAUCGCAUUCGUUACUACAUGCAAUGCAAUUAUAUAUAUUCUUUUUUGAAGACUUUAUGAUCCAUUUGCGGUAGGUCCCACCAGCUAUGUAGGAAUACCCUAUCUUGCUUAUAAGAGUUUUGAUACAUGCAAAAAUAUUCGAAAACAAUGUCCGAACAUAUAAUUUUUGUCCCGUAAUAUAACAAAGAUCACGAAAAGGCCAAAAAUAGUACAUUUCGGUCAAAACAUGGAGCAGAAAAAAAACCCCUUCCUCAUUCAUCGGAGAGCUCUCAUUGGGCUUUCCGAAAAGAUAUCACAUGCAAAGUUUGGCCUCACGGUUUAAAAGUUAUAGAGUCAAAUAUUUUUAACAAAAAAAAGAGAGAAAAACCGAAAACAAAGAGGGAUGCAACACGAGGACUUUCCGGAAGGUCACCCAUCCUAGUACUACUCUAGCCCAAGCACGCUUAACCGCGGAGUUCUGAUAGGAUCCGGUGCAUUAGUGCUGGUAUGAUCGCAUCAGUUACUACAUGCAAUGCAAUCAUAUAUAUUUUUUUUGAAGACUUUAUGAUCCAUUUGCCGUGGGUCCCACCAGCUAUGUAGGAAUACCUAUCUUGUUUAUAAGAGCUUUGAUACAUGCAAAAUAUUUGAAAACAAUGUCCGAACGUAUAAUCUUCGUCCCGUAAUAUAGCAAAGAUCACGAAAAGGCCAGAAAAAGUACAUUAAGGUCAAAAUUUUGACUAGAAAAAAAAAACAAUAGAAAAAUUCCAUUGUCCUUCCUCAUUCAUCGGAGAGUUCUCUUUGGGCUUUCCGAAAAGGUAUCACAUGCCAAGUUUGGCCUCACGGUCUAAAACUUAUAGAAUCAUACAUUCUUAACAAAAAAAAAAAAAAAACCGAAAAAAAGAAGAAUGCAACACAAGGACUUUCCAGGAGGUCAACCAUCCUAGUAGUACUCUCGCCCAAUCACGCUUAACUGCAGAGUUCUGAUGGGAUCCGGUGCAUUAGUGCUGGUAUGAUCGCAUCUGUUACUACAUGCAAUGCAAUCGUAUCUAUUCUUUUUUGAAGACUUUAUGAUCCAUUUGCCGUGGGUCCCACCAGCUAUGUAGGAAUACCUUAUCUUGUUUAUAAGAGCUUUGAUACAUGCAAAAUAUUCGAAUACAAUGUCUGAACGUAUAACUUUCGCCCCGUAAUAUAGCGAAGAUCACGAAAAGGCCCGAAAAAGUACAUUAAGGUCAAAAUUUCGAGUAGAAAUAAAAACCAAUAGAAGAAUUCCAAUUUCCUUCCUCAUUCAUUGGAGAGCUCUCUUUGGGCUUUCCGAAAAGGUAUCACAUGCGAAGUUUCGCCUCACAAUCUAAAAGUUAUAUAGUCAUACAUUUUUAACAAAACAAAUAGAGAAAAACCGAAAAAAAGAAUGAUACAACACAACGACUUUCCCGGAGGUCACCCAUCCUAAUACUAUUCUCGCCCAAGCAAGCUUAACUGCAGAGUAUUGAUGGGAUCUGAUGCAUAAGUGCUGAUAUGAUCGCAUCCGUUACUACAUGCAAUGCAAUCGUAUCUAUUCGUUUUUGAAGACUUUAUGAUCCAUUUGCCGUGGGUCCCACCAGCUAUGUAGGAAUACCCUAUCUUGUUUAUAAGAGCUUUGAUACAUGCAAAAAAUUGGAAAACAAUGUCUGAACAUAUAAUUUUUGUCCCGUAAUAUAGCAAAGAUCACGAAAAGGAUAGAAAAAGUACAUUAAGGUCAAAAUUUUGAGUAGAAAAAAAAUCAAUAGAAGGAUUCCAAUUUCCUUGCUCAUUCAUAUAGCUCUCUUUGGGCUUUCCGAAAAGGUAUCACAUGCAAAGUUUGGCCUCGCGGUCUAAAAGUUAUAGAGGUAUACUUUUUUACCAAAAAAAAAGAAGAAAAAAACCAAAAAAAAGAGGGAUUCAACACGAGGACUUUCUGGGAGGUCACUCAUCCUAUUACUACUCUCGCCCAAGCACGCUUAACUGCGGAGUUCUGAUAGGAUCCAGUGCAUUAGUGCGGGUAUGAUCACAUCCGUUACUACAUGCAAUGCAAUCGUAUAUAUUUUUUUUGAAGACUUUAUGAUCCAUUUGCCGUGGGUCUCACCAGCUAUAUAGGAAUACCCUAUCUUGUUUAUAAGAGCUUUGAUACAUGCAAAAUAUUUGAAAACAAUGUCCGAACGUAUAAUCUUCGUCCCGUAAUAUAGCAAAGAUCACUAAAAGGCUAGAAAAAGUACAUUAAGAUCAAAAUUUUGAGUAGAAAAAUAAACAAUAGAAAAAUUCCAUUGUCCUUCCUCAUUCAUCGGAGAGUUCUCUUUGGGCUUUCCGAAAAGGUAUCACAUGCCAAGUUUGGCCUCACGGUCUAAAACUUAUAGAAUCAUACAUUCUUAACAAAAAAAAAAGAGAAAAACCGAAAAAAAGAAGAAUUUAACACAAGGACUUUCCAGGAGGUCAACCAUCCUAGUAGUACUCUCGCCCAAUCACGCUUAACUGCAGAGUUCUGAUGGGAUCCGGUGCAUUAGUGCUGGUAUGAUCGCAUCUGUUACUACAUGCAAUGCAAUCGUAUCUGUUACUACAUGCAAUGCAAUCGUAUCUGUUACUACAUGCAAUGCAAUCGUAUCUAUUCUUUUUUGAAGACUUUAUGAUCCAUUUGCCGUGGGUCCCACCAGCUAUGUAGGAAUACCCUAUCUUGUUUAUAAGAGCUUUGAUACAUGCAAAAUAUUCGAAUACAAUGUCUAAACGUAUAAGUUUCGCCCCGUAAUAUAGCGAAGAUCACGAAAAGGCCCGAAAAAGUACAUUAAGGUCAAAAUUUGGAGUAGAAAUAAAAACCAAUAGAAGAAUUCCAAUUUCCUUCCUCAUUCAUUGGAGAGCUCUCUUUGGGCUUUCCGAAAAGGUAUCACAUGCGAAGUUUGGCCUCACAAUCUAAAAGUUAUAUAGUCAUACAUUUUUAACAAAACAAAUAGAGAAAAACCGAAAAAAAGAAUGAUACAACACAAGGACUUUCCGGGAGGUCACCCAUCCUAAUACUAUUCUCGCCCAAGCAAGCUUAACUGCAGAGUAUUGAUGGGAUCUGAUGCAUAAGGGCUGAUAUGAUCGCAUCCGUUACUACAAGCAAUGCAAUCGUAUCUAUUCGUUUUUGAAGACUUUAUGAUCCAUUUGCCGUGGGUCCCACCAGCUAUGUAGGAAUACCCUAUCUUGUUUAUAAGAGCUUUGAUACAUGCAAAAAAUUGGAAAACAAUGUCUGAACAUAUAAUUUUUGUCCCGUAAUAUAGCAAAGAUCACGAAAAGGAUAGAAAAAGUACAUUAAGGUCAAAAUUUUGAGUAGAAAAAAAAUCAAUAGAAGGAUUCCAAUUUCCUUCCUCAUUCAUAUAGCUCUCUUUGGGCUUUCCGAAAAGGUAUCACAUGCAAAGUUUGGCCCCGCGGUCUAAAAGUUAUAGAGGUAUACAUUUUUACCAAAAAAAAGAGGGAUUCAACACGAGGACUUUUUUNNNNNNNNNNNNNNNNNNNNNNNNNNNNNNNNNNNNNNNNNNNNNNNNNNUGCUGGUAUGAUCGCAUCAGUUACUACAUGCAAUGCAAUCAUAUAUAUUCUUUUUUGAAGACUUUAUGAUCCAUUUGCCGUAGGUCCCACCAGCUAUGUAGGAAUACCCUAUCUUGUUUAUAAGAGCUUUGAUACAUGCAAAAUAUUCGAAAACAAUGUCCGAACAUAUAAUUUUUGUCCCGUAAUAUAGCAAAGAUCACGAAAAGGCCAGAAAAAAUACAUUUCGGUCAAAAUUUGGAGUAGAAAAAAAGCCCUUCCUCAUUCAUUGGACAGCUCUCUUUGGGCUUUCCGAAAAGGUAUCACAUGCCAAGUUUGGCCUCACGGUCUAAACCUUAUAGACUCAUACAUUUUUCACAAAAAAAAGAAGAGAAAAACCAAAAAAAAGAGUGAUUAAACACGAGGAUUUUCCUGGAGGUCACCCAUCCUAGUACUACUCUCGCCCAAGCACGCUUAACUGCGAAGGUCUGAUGGGAUAUGGUGCAUUAGUGCUGGUAUGAUCGCAUCUGUUACUACAUGCAAUGCAAUCGUAUCUAUUCUUUUUUGAAGAUUUGAUGAUUCAUUUACCGUGGGUCCCACCAGCUAUGUAGGAAUAACCUAUCUUAUUUAUAAAAGCUUUGAUACAUGCAAAAUAUUCGAAAACAAUGUCCGAACAUAUAAUGUUCGCCCCAAAAUAUAGCAAAGACCACAAAAAUGCCAUAAAAAGUACAUUAAGGUCAAAAUUUGGAGUAGGAAAAAAAUCAAUAGGAGAAUUCCAUUUUCCUUCCCUCAUUCAUCAGAGAGCUCUCUUUGGGCAUUCCAAAAAGGUAUCACAUGCCAAGUUUGGCCUCACGGUCUAAAAGUUAUAGAGUAUUACAUUUUUAACAAAAAAAAAAGGGAAAAACCGAAAAAGAGGGAUGCAACACGAAGACUUUUCUGGAGGUCACCCAUUCUAGUACUACUCUCCCCCAAGCACGCUUAACUGUGGUGUUCUAAUAGGAUCAAGUGCAUUAGUGCUGGUAUGAUCGCAUCAGUUACUACAUGCAAUGCAAUCAUAUAUAUUCUUUUUUGAAGACUUUAUGAUCCAUUUGCCGUAGGUCCCACCAGCUAUGUAGGAAUACCCUAUCUUGUUUAUAAGAGCUUUGAUACAUGCAAAAUAUUCGAAAACAAUGUCCGAACAUAUAAUUUUUGUCCCGUAAUAUAGCAAAGAUCACGAAAAGGCCAGAAAAAAUACAUUUCGGUCAAAAUUUGGAGUAGAAAAAAAGCCCUUCCUCAUUCAUUGGACAGCUCUCUUUGGGCUUUCCGAAAAGGUAUCAUAUGCCAAGUUUGGCCUCACGGUCUAAACCUUAUAGACUCAUACAUUUUUCACAAAAAAAAGAAGAGAAAAACCAAAAAAAAGAGUGAUUAAACACGAGGACUUUCCUGGAGGUCAUCCAUCCUAGUACUACUCUCGCCCAAGCACGCUUAAUUGCGAAGUUCUGAUGGGAUCUGGUGCAUUAGUGCUGGUAUGAUCGCAUAUGUUACUACAUGCAAUGCAAUCGUAUCUAUUCUUUUUUGAAGAUUUUAUGAUUCAUUUACCGUGGGUACCACCAGCUAUGUAGGAAUAACCUAUCUUAUUUAUAAGAGCUUUGAUACAUGCAAAAUAUUCGAAAACAAUGUCCGAACAUAUAAUUUUUGUCCCGUAAUAUAGCAAAGAUCACGAAAAGGCCAGAAAAAAUACAUUUCGGUCAAAAUUUGGAGUAGAAAAAAACCCUUCCUCAUUCAUUGGACAGCUCUGUUUGAGCUUUCCGAAAAGGUAUCACAUGCCAAGUUUGGCCUCACGGUCUAAAAGUUAUAGAGUCAUACAUUUUUCACAAAAAAAAGAAGAGAAAAACCAAAAAAAAGAGUGAUGAAACACGAGGACUUUCCUGGAGGUCACCCAUCCUAGUACUACUCUCGCCCAAGCACGCGUAACUGCGAAGUUCUGAUGGGAUCUGGUGCAUUAGUGCUGGUAUGAUCGCAUCUGUUACUACAUGCAAUGCAAUCGUAUCUAUUCUUUUUUGAAGAUUUUAUGAUUCAUUUACCGUGGGUCCCACCAGCUAUGUAGGAAUAACCUAUCUUAUUUAUAAGAGCUUUGAUACAUGCAAAAUAUUGGAAAACAAUGUCCGAACAUAUAAUGUUCGCCCCAAAAUAUAGCAAAGACAACAAAAAUCCCAUAAAAAGUACAUUAAGGUCAAAAUUUGGAGUAGGAAAAAAAUCAAUAAGAGAAUUCCAUUUUCCUUCCCUCAUUCAUCGGAGAGGUCUCUUUGGGCAUUCCAAAAAGGUAUCACAUGCCAAGUUUGGCCUCACGGUCUAAAAGUUAUAGAGUAAUACAUUUUUAACAAAAAAAAAAGAGAAAAACCGAAAAAAAGAGGGAUGCAACACGAAGACUUUUCUGGAGGUCACCCAUCCUAGUACUACUCUCCCAAAGCACGCUUAACUGUGGUGUUCUGAUAGGAUCAAGUGCAUUAGUGCGGGUAUGAUCGCAUCAGUUACUACAUGCAAUGCAAUCAUAUAUAUUCUUUUUUGAAGACUUUAUGAUCCAUUUGCCGUAGGUCCCACCAGCUAUGUAGGAAUACCCUAUCUUGUUUAUAAGAGCUUUGAUACAUGCAAAAUAUUCGAAAACAAUGUCCGAACAUAUAAUUUUUGUCCCGUAAUAUAGCAAAGAUCACGAAAAGGCCAGGAAAAAUACAUUUCGGUCAAAAUUUGGAGUAGAAAAAAAACCCUUCCUCAUUCAUUGGACAGCUCUCUUUGGGCUUUCCGAAAAGGUAUCACAUGCCAAGUUUGGCCUCACGGUCUAAAAGUUAUAGAUUCAUACAUUUUUCACAAAAAAAAGAAGAGAAAAACCAAAAAAAAGAGGGAUGAAACACGAGGACUUUCCCAGAGGUCACCCAUCCUAGUACUACUCUCGCCCAAGCACGCUUAACUGCGAAGUUCUGAUGGGAUCUGGUGCAUUAGUGCUGGUAUGAUCGCAUCUGUUACUACAUGCAAUGCAAUCGUAUCUAUUCUUUUUUGAAGAUUUUAUGAUUCAUUUACCGUGGGUCCCACCAGCUAUGUAGGAAAACCUAUCUUAUUUAUAAGAUCUUUGAUACAUGCAAAAUAUUGGAAAACAAUGUCCGAACAUAUAAUGUUCGCCCCAAAAUAUAGCGAAGACCACAAAAAUGCCAUAAAAAGUACAUUAAGGUCAAAAUUUGGAGUAGGAAAAAAAUCAAUAGGAGAAUUCCAUUUUCCUUCCCUCAUUCAUCGGAGAGCUCUCUUUGGGCAUUCCAAAAAGGUAUCACAUGCCAAGUUUGGCCUCACGGUCUAAAAGUUAUAGAAUAUUACAUUUUUAACAAAAAAAAAGAGAAAAACCAAAAAAAAGAGGGAUGCAACACGAGGACUUUUCUGGAGGUCACCCAUCCUACUACUACUCUCGCCCAAGCACACUUAACUGCGGUGUUCUGAUAGGAUCAAGUGCAUUAGUGCUGGUAUGAUCGCAUCAGUUACUACAUGCAAUGCAAUCAUAUAUAUUCUUUUUUGAAGACUUUAUGAUCCAUUUGCCGUAGGUCCCACCAGCUAUGUAGGAAUACCCUAUCUUGUUUAUAAGAGCUUUGAUACAUGCAAAAUAUUCGAAAACAAUGUCCGAACAUAUAAUUUUUGUCCCGUAAUAUAGCAAAGAUCACGAAAAGGCCAGAAAAAAUACAUUUUGGUCAAAAUUUGGAGUAGAAAAAAAGCCCUUCCUCAUUCAUUGGACAGCUCUCUUUGGGCUUUCCGAAAAGGUAUCACAUGCCAAGUUUGGCCUCACGGUCUAAACCUUAUAGACUCAUACAUUUUUCACAAAAAAAAGAAGAGAAAAACCAAAAAAAAGAGUGAUUAAACACGAGGAUUUUCCUGGAGGUCACCCAUCCUAGUACUACUCUCGCCCAAGCACGCUUAACUGCGAAGGUCUGAUGGGAUAUGGUGCAUUAGUGCUGGUAUGAUCGCAUCUGUUACUACAUGCAAUGCAAUCGUAUCUAUUCUUUUUUGAAGAUUUGAUGAUUCAUUUACCGUGGGUCCCACCAGCUAUGUAGGAAUAACCUAUCUUAUUUAUAAAAGCUUUGAUACAUGCAAAAUAUUCGAAAACAAUGUCCGAACAUAUAAUGUUCGCCCCAAAAUAUAGCAAAGAUCACAAAAAUGCCAUAAAAAGUACAUUAAGGUCAAAAUUUGGAGUAGGAAAAAAAUCAAUAGGAGAAUUCCAUUUUCCUUCCCUCAUUCAUCGGAGAGCUCUCUUUGGGCAUUCCAAAAAGGUAUCACAUGCCAAGUUUGGCCUCACGGUCUAAAAGUUAUAGAGUAUUACAUUUUUAACAAAAAAAAAAGGGAAAAACCGAAAAAGAGGGAUGCAACACGAAGACUUUUCUGGAGGUCACCCAUCCUAGUACUACUCUCCCCCAAGCACGCUUAACUGUGGUGUUCUAAUAGGAUCAUGUGCAUUAGUGCUGGUAUGAUCGCAUCAGUUACUACAUGCAAUGCAAUCAUAUAUAUUCUUUUUUGAAGACUUUAUGAUCCAUUUGCCGUAGGUCCCACCAGCUAUGUAGGAAUACCCUAUCUUGUUUAUAAGAGCUUUGAUACAUGCAAAAUAUUCGAAAACAAUGUCCGAACAUAUAAUUUUUGUCCCGUAAUAUAGCAAAGAUCACGAAAAGGCCAGAAAAAAUACAUUUCGGUCAAAAUUUGGAGUAGAAAAAAAGCCCUUCCUCAUUCAUUGGACAGCUCUCUUUGGGCUUUCCGAAAAGGUAUCAUAUGCCAAGUUUGGCCUCACGGUCUAAACCUUAUAGACUCAUACAUUUUUCACAAAAAAAAGAAGAGAAAAACCAAAAAAAAGAGUGAUUAAACACGAGGACUUUCUUGGAGGUCAUCCAUCCUAGUACUACUCUCGCCCAAGCACGCUUAACUGCGAAGUUCUGAUGGGAUCUGGUGCAUUAGUGCUGGUAUGAUCGCAUCUGUUACUACAUGCAAUGCAAUCGUAUCUAUUCUUUUUUGAAGAUUUUAUGAUUCAUUUACCGUGGGUACCACCAGCUAUGUAGGAAUAACCUAUCUUAUUUAUAAGAGCUUUGAUACAUGCAAAAUAUUCGAAAACAAUGUCCGAACAUAUAAUUUUUGUCCCGUAAUAUAGCAAAGAUCACGAAAAGGCCAGAAAAAAUACAUUUUGGUCAAAAUUUGGAGUAGAAAAAAACCCUUCCUCAUUCAUUGGACAGCUCUGUUUGAGCUUUCCGAAAAGGUAUCACAUGCCAAGUUUGGCCUCACGGUCUAAAAGUUAUAGAGUCAUACAUUUUUCACAAAAAAAAAGAAGAGAAAAACCAAAAAAAAGAGUGAUGAAACACGAGGACUUUCCUGGAGGUCACCCAUCCUAGUACUACUCUCGCCCAAGCACGCGUAACUACGAAGUUCUGAUGGGAUCUGGUGCAUUAGUGCUGGUAUGAUCGCAUCUGUUACUACAUGCAAUGCAAUCGUAUCUAUUCUUUUUUGAAGAUUUUAUGAUUCAUUUACCGUGGGUCCCACCAGCUAUGUAGGAAUAACCUAUCUUAUUUAUAAGAGCUUUGAUACAUGCAAAAUAUUGGAAAACAAUGUCCGAACAUAUAAUGUUCGCCCCAAAAUAUAGCAAAGACAACAAAAAUGCCAUAAAAAGUACAUUAAGGUCAAAAUUUGGAGUAGGAAAAAAAUCAAUAAGAGAAUUCCAUUUUCCUUCCCUCAUUCAUCGGAGAGCUCUCUUUGGGCAUUCCAAAAAGGUAUCACAUGCCAAGUUUGGCCUCACGGUCUAAAAGUUAUAGAGUAGUACAUUUUUAACAAAAAAAAAAGAGAGAAACCGAAAAAAAGAGGGAUGCAACACGAAGACUUUUCUGGAGGUCACCCAUCCUAGUACUACUCUCCCAAAGCACGCUUAACUGUGGUGUUCUGAUAGGAUCAAGUGCAUUAGUGCGGGUAUGAUCGCAUCAGUUACUACAUGCAAUGCAAUCAUAUAUAUUCUUUUUUGAAGACUUUAUGAUCCAUUUGCCGUAGGUCCCACCAGCUAUGUAGGAAUACCCUAUCUUGUUUAUAAGAGCUUUGAUACAUGCAAAAUAUUCGAAAACAAUGUCCGAACAUAUAAUUUUUGUCCCGUAAUAUAGCAAAGAUCACGAAAAGGCCAGGAAAAAUACAUUUCGGUCAAAAUUUGGAGUAGAAAAAAAACCCUUCCUCAUUCAUUGGACAGCUCUCUUUGGGCUUUCCGAAAAGGUAUCACAUGCCAAGUUUGGCCUCACGGUCUAAAAGUUAUAGAUUCAUACAUUUUUCACAAAAAAAAGAAGAGAAAAACCAAAAAAAAGAGGGAUGAAACACGAGGACUUUCCCAGAGGUCACCCAUCCUAGUACUACUCUCGCCCAAGCACGCUUAACUGCGAAGUUCUGAUGGGAUCUGGUGCAUUAGUGCUGGUAUGAUCGCAUCUGUUACUACAUGCAAUGCAAUCGUAUCUAUUCUUUUUUGAAGAUUUUAUGAUUCAUUUACCGUGGGUCCCACCAGCUAUGUAGGAAAACCUAUCUUAUUUAUAAGAUCUUUGAUACAUGCAAAAUAUUGGAAAACAAUGUCCGAACAUAUAAUGUUCGCCCCAAAAUAUAGCGAAGACCACAAAAAUGCCAUAAAAAGUACAUUAAGGUCAAAAUUUGGAGUAGGAAAAAAAUCAAUAGGAGAAUUCCAUUUUCCUUCCCUCAUUCAUCGGAGAGCUCUCUUUGGGCAUUCCAAAAAGGUAUCACAUGCCAAGUUUGGCCUCACGGUCUAAAAGUUAUAGAAUAUUACAUUUUUAACAAAAAAAAAGAGAAAAACCGAAAAAAAGAGGGAUGCAACACGAAGACUUUUCUGGAGGUCACCCAUCCUACUACUACUCUCGCCCAAGCACACUUAACUGCGGUGUUCUGAUAGGAUCAAGUGCAUUAGUGCUGGUAUGAUCGCAUCAGUUACUACAUGCAAUACAAUCAUAUAUAUUCUUUUUUGAAGACUUUAUGAUCCAUUUGCCGUAGGUCCCACCAGCUAUGUAGGAAUACCUUAUCUUGUUUAUAAGAGCUUUGAUACAUGCAAAAUAUUCGAAAACAAUGUCCGAACAUAUAAUUUUUGUCCCGUAAUAUAGCAAAGAUCACGAAAAGGCCAGAAAAAAUACAUUUCGGUCAAAAUUUGGAGUAGAAAAAAAACCCUUCCUCAUUCAUUGGACAGCUCUCUUUGGGCUUUCCGAAAAGGUAUCACAUGCCAAGUUUGGCUUCACGGUCUAAACCUUAUAGACUCAUACAUUUUUCACAAAAAAAAGAAGAGAAAAACAAAAAAAAAGAGUGAUUAAACACGAGGACUUUCCUGGAGGUCACCCAUCCUAGUACUACUCUCGCCCAAGCACUCUUAACUGCGAAGUUCUGAUGGGAUCUGGUGCAUUAGUGCUGGUAUGAACGCAUCUGUUACUACAUGCAAUGCAAUCGUAUGUAUUCUUUUUUGAAGAUUUUAUGAUUCAUUUACCGUGGGUCCCACCAGCUAUGUAGGAAUAACCUAUCUUAUUUAUAAAAGCUUUGAUACAUGCAAAAUAUUCGAAAACAAUGUCCGAACAUAUAAUGUUCGCCCCAAAAUAUAGCAAAGACCACAAAAAUGCCAUAAAAAGUACAUUAAGGUCAAAAUUUGGAGUAGGAAAAAAAUCAAUAGGAGAAUUCCAUUUUCCUUCCCUCAUUCAUCGGAGAGCUCUCUUUGGGCAUUCCAAAAAGGUAUCACAUGCCAAGUUUGGCCUCACGGUCUAAAAGUUAUAGAGUAUUACAUUUUUAACAAAAAAAAAAAGAGAAAAACCGAAAAAAAGAGGGAUGCAACACGAAGACUUUUCUGGAGGUCACCCAUCCUAGUACUACUCUCCCCCAAGCACGCUUAACUGUGGUGUUCUGAUAGGAUCAAGUGCAUUAGUGCUGGUAUGAUCGCAUCAGUUACUACAUGCAAUGCAAUCAUAUAUAUUCUUUUUUGAAGACUUUAUGAUCCAUUUGCCGUAGGUCCCACCAGCUAUGUAGGAAUACCCUAUCUUGUUUAUAAGAGCUUUGAUACAUGCAAAAUAUUCGAAAACAAUGUCCGAACAUAUAAUUUUUGUCCCGUAAUAUAGCAAAGAUCACGAAAAGGUCAGAAAAAAUAUAUUUCGGUCAAAAUUUGGAGUAGAAAAAAAGCCCUUCCUCAUUCAUUGGACAGCUCUCUUUGGGCUUUCCGAAAAGGUAUCACAUGCCAAGUUUGGCCUCACGGUCUAAACCUUAUAGACUCAUACAUUUUUCAUAAAAAAAAGAAGAGAAAAACAAAAAAAAAAAGAGUGAUUAAACACGAGGACUUUCCUGGAGGUCACCCAUCCUAGUACUACUCUCGCCCAAGCACGCUUAACUACGAAGUUCCGAUGGGAUCUGAUGCAUUAGUGCUGGUAUGAUCGCAUCUGUUACUACAUGCAAUGCAAUCGUAUCUAUUCUUUUUUGAAGAUUUUAUGAUUCAUUUACUGUGGGUCCCACCAGCUAUGUAGGAAUAACCUAUCUUAUUUAUAAAAGCUUUGAUACAUGCAAAAUAUUGGAAAACAAUGUCCGAACAUAUAAUGUUCGCCCCAAAAUAUAGCAAAGACCACAAAAAUGCCAUAAAAAGUACAUUAAGGUCAAAAUUUGGAGUAGGAAAAAAAUCAAUAGGAGAAUUCCAUUUUCCUUCCCUCAUUCAUCGGAGAGCUCUCUUUGGGCAUUCCAAAAAGGUAUCACAUGCCAAGUUUGGCCUCACGGUCUAAAAGUUAUAGAGUAAUACAUUUUUAACAAAAAAAAAAAAGAAAAAAACCGAAAACAAAGAGGGAUGCAACACGAAGACUUUCCUGGAGGUCACCCAUCCUAGUACUACUCUCACCCAAGCACACNUUAACUGUGGUGUUCUGAUAGGAUCAAGUGCAUUAGUGCUGGUAUGAUCGCAUCAGUUACUACAUGCAAUGCAAUCNNNNNNNNNNNNNNNNNNNNNNNNNNNNNNNNNNNNNNNNNNNNNNNNNNCUCCUCAGUCAUCUUUGAGCUCUCUUUGGGCUUUCCGAAAAGGUAUCACAUGCCCAGUUUGGCCUCACGGUCUAAAAGUUAUAAAGUCAUACAUUUUUAACAAAAAAAAAAGAGAAAAACCGAAAAAAAGAGGGAUGCAAUACGAGGACUUUCCACGAGGUCACCCAUCCUAGUACAACUCUCGCCAAAGCAUGCUUAACUGCGGAGUUUAGAUGGGAUCUGGUGCAUUAGUGCUGGUAUGAUCGCAUCUGUUACUACAUGCAAUGCAAUCGUAUCUAUUCUUAUUUAAAGACUUUAUCAUCCAUUUGCCAUGGGUCCCACCUGUAGGAAUACCCAAUCUUGUUUAUAAGAGCUUUGAUACAUGCAAAAUAUUCGAAAACAACGUCCGAACAUAUAAUUUUCGCCCCGUAAUAUAGCAAAGAUCACGAAAAGGCCCGAAAAAGUACAUUAAGGUCAAAAUUUGGAAUAGAAAAAAAAACCAAAAGAAGUAUUCCAUUGUCCUUUGUCAUUCAUCGAAGAGCUCUCUUUGGGCUUUCCGAAAAGGUAUCGCAAGCCAAGUUUGGCCUCACGGUUUAAAAGUUAUAAAGUCAUACAUUUUUAACAAAAAAAAAAAGAGAAAAAACCGAAAAAAAGAGGGAUGCAACACGAGGACUUUUCUGGAGGUCACCCAUCCUAGUACUACUCUCGCCCGAUCACCCUUAACUGCGUAGUUUUGAUGGGAUUCGAUGCAUUAGUGCUGGUAUGAUCGCAUCUGUUACUACAUGCAAUGUAAUCGUAUCUAUUCUUUUUUAAAGACUUUAUGAUCCAUUUGCCGUGGGUCCCACCAGCUAUGUAGGAAUACCCUAUCUUCUUUAUAAGAGCUUUGAUAUAUGCAAAAUAGUGGAAAACCAUGUCCGAACAUAUAAUUUUUCCCCUGUAAUAUAGCAAAGAUCAAGAAAAAGCCAAAAAAAGUAUAUUUAGGUCAAAAUUUGGAGUAGAAAAAAAAACAAUAGAAGAAUUCCAUUUUCCUUCCUCAGUCAUCGGAGAGCUCUCUUUCGGCUUUCCGAAAAGGUAUCAAAUGCCAAGUUUGGCCUCACGGUCUAAAAGUUAUAGAGUCAUACAUUUUUAACAAUACAAAGUAGAGAAAACCGGAAAAAAGAGGGAUGCAACAUGAGGACUUUCCGGGAGGUAAUCCAUCCUAGUACAACUCUUGCCCAAGCACCCUUAACUGCGGAGUUCUGAUGGAAUCCGGUGCAUUAGUGCUGGUAUGAUCGCAUCUGUUACUACAUGCAAUGUAAUCGUAUCUAUUUUUUUUUAAAGACUUUAUGAUCCAUUUGCCGUGGGUCCCACCAGCUAUGUAGGAAUACCCUAUCUUCUUUAUAAGAGCUUUGAUACAUGCAAAAUAUAUGAAAAAACGUUCGAACAUAUAAUUUUUCCCCCCGUAAUAUAGCAAAGAUCACGAAAAGGCCCGAAAAAGUACAUUUAGUUCAAAAUUUGGAGUAGAAAAACCCAAUAGAAGAAUUCCAUUUUCCUUCGUCAUUCAUCGGAGAGCUCUCUUUGGGCUUUCCGAAAAGGUAUCACAUGCCAAGUUUGGCCUCACGGUCUAAAAGUUAUAGAGUCAUACAUUUUUAACAAAACAAAAUUGAGAAAAACCGAAAAAAGAGGGAUGCAACACGAGGACUCUCCAGAAGGUAACCCAUCUUAGUACUACUUUCGCCCAAGCACCCUUAACUGCGGAGUUCUGAUAGGACCCGGUGCAUUAGUGCUGGUAUGAUCGCAUGUGUUACUACAUGCAAUGUAAUCGUAUAUAUUCAUUUUUAAAGACUUUAUGAUCCAUUUGCCGUGGGUCCUACCAGCUAUGUAGAAAUACCCUAUCUUCUUUAUAAGAGCUUUCAUUCACGCAAAAUAAUGGAAAACAAUGUCCGAAGAUAUAAUUCCCCCCCCCCCCCCCCCGUAAUAUAGCAAAGAUCACGAAAAGGCCCGAAAAAGUACAUUAAGUUCAAAAUUUGGAGUAGAAAAAAAAACAAUAGAAGAAUUCCAUUUUCCUUCCUCAGUCAUCGGAGAGCUCUCUUUGGGCUUUCCGAAAAGGUAUCACAUGCCAAGUUUGGCCUCACGGUCUAAAGGUUAUAGAGUCAUACAUUUUUAACAAAAAAAAAUAGAAAAACAGAAAAAAGAGGGAUGCAAUACGAGGACUUUCCAGGAGGUCACCCAUCCUAGUACAACUCUCGCCGAAGCACGCUUAACUACGGUGUUCAGAUGGAAUCUGGUGCAUUAGUGCUGGUAUGAUGUCAUUUGUUACUACAUGCAAUGCAAUCAUAUCUAUUCUUAUUUAAAGACUUUAUGAUCCAUUUGCCGUGGGUCCCACCUGUAGGAAUACCCUAUCUUGUUUAUAAAAGAUUUGAUACAUGCAAAAUACUCGAAAACAAUGUCCGAACAUAUAAUUUUCACCCCGUAAUAUAGCAAAGAUCACGAAAAGGCCCGAAAAAGUACAUUAAAGUCAAAAUUUGGAGUAGAAAAAAACCCAAUAGAAGUAUUCCAUUCUCCUUCGUCAUUCAUCGGAGAGCUCUCUUUAGGCUUUCCGAAAAGAUAUCACAUGCCAAGUUUGGCCUCACGGUUUAAAAGUUAUAGAGUCAUAGAUUUUUAACAAAACAAAAAGAGAAAAACCGAAAAAAAAUUGGGAUGCAACACGAGGACUUUCCUGGAGGUCACCCAUCCUAGUACUACUCUUGCCCAAGCACCCUUAACUGCGUAGUUCUGAUGGGAUCCGAUGCUUUAGGGCUGGUAUGAUCGCAUCUGUUACUACAUGCAAUGUAAUCGUAUCUAUUCUUUUUUAAAGACUUUAUGAUCCAUUUGCCGUGGGUCCCACCAGCUAUGUAGGAAUACCCUAUCUUCUUUAUAAGAGCUUUGAUAAAUGCAAAAUAUUGGAAAGCAAUGUCCGAACAUAUAAUUUCGCCCCCGUAAUAUAGCAAAGAUCACGAAAAAGCCCAAAAAAGUUCAUUUAGGUCAAAAUUUGAGCAGAAGAAAAAGAAAUAGAAGAAUUCCAUUUUCCUUCCUCAUUUAUUGGAGAGCUCUCUUUGGGCUUUCCGAAAAGGUAUCACAUGCCAAGUUUGGCCUCACGGUCUAAAAGUUAUAGAGUCAUACAGUUUUAACAAAAUGAAAUAGAGAAAAACCGAAAAAAAGAGGGAUGUAACACGAGGACUUUCCGGGAGGUAAUCUAUCCUACUACUACUCUCGGCCAAGCACCCUUAACUGCGGAGUUCUAAUGGGAUCCGGUGCAUUAGUGCUAGUAUGAUCGCAUGUGUUACUACAUGCAAUGUAAUCGUAUCUAUUCUUUUUUAAAGACUUUAUGAUCCAUUUGCCGUGGGUCCCACCAGCUAUGUAGGAAUACCCUAUCUUCUUUAUAAGAGCUUUGAUACAUGCAAAAUAUAUGAAAAAAACGUCCGAACAUAUAAUUUUCCCCCCGUAAUAUAGCAAAGAUCAUGAAAAGGCCCAAAAAAGUACAUUAAUGUCAAAAUUUGGCGUAGAAAAAAAACCAAUAGACAUAUUCCAUUGUCCUUCAUCAUUCAUUGAAGAGCUCUCUUUGGGCUUUCCGAAAAGGUAUCACAUGCCAAGUUUGGCCUCACGGUCUAAAAGUUAUAGAGUCAUACAUUUUUAACAAUACAAAAUAGAGAAAAACCGAAAAAAAGAGGGAUGCAACACGAGGACUUUCCGGGAGGUAAUCCAUCCUAGUACUACUCUCGCCCAAGCACCCUUAACUGCGGAGUUCUGAUGGGACCCGGUGCAUUAGUGCUGGUAUGAUCGCAUCUGUUACUAUAUGCAAUGUAAUCGUAUCUAUUCUUUUUUAAAGACUUUAUGAUCCAUUUGCCGUGGGUCCCACCAGCUAUGUAGGAAUACCCUAUCUUCUUUAUAAGAGCUUUGAUAUAUGCAAAAUAUUGGAACACCAUGUCCGAACAUAUAAUUUUUCCCGUGUAAUAUAGCAAAGAUCAAGAAAAAGACAAAAGAGUACAUUUAGGUCAAAAUUUGAGUAGAAAAAAACAAAUAGAAGAAUUCCAUUUUCCUUCCUCAUUCAGCUGAGAGCUCUCUUUGGGCUUUCCGAAAAGGUAUCAUAUGCCAAGUUUGGCCUCACAGUGUAAAAGUUAUAGAGUCUAACAUUUUUAACAAAACAAAAUAGAGAAAAACCAAAAAAAGAGGGAUGCAACACGAGGACUUUCUGGGAGGUCACCCAUCCUAGUACUACUCUCGCCCAAGCACCCUUAACUGCGGAGUUCUGAUGGGAUCCGGUGCAUUAGUGCAGGUAUGAUCGCAUGUGUUACUACAUGCAAUGUAAUCCUAUCUAUUCUUUCUUAAAGACUUUAUGAUCCAUUUGCCGUGAGUCCCACCAGCUAUGUAGGAAUACCCUAUCUUCUUUAUAAGAGCUUUGAUACAUGCAAAAUAUUGGAAAACAAUAUCCGAACAUAUAGUUUUCCCCCCGUAAUAUAGCAAAGAUCACGAAAAGGCCCGAAAAAGUACAUUUAGUUCAAAAUUGGGAGUAGAAAAAAAAACAAUAGAAGAAUUCCAUUUUACUUCCUCAGUCAUCGGAGAGCUCUCUUUGGGCUUUCCGAAAAGGUAUCACAUGCCCAGUUUGGCCUCACGGUCUAAAAGUUAUAAAGUCAUACAUUUUUAACAAAAACAAAAGAGAAAAACCGAAAAAAAAGAGGGAUGCAAUACGAGGACUUUCCACGAGGUCACCCAUCCUAGUACAACUCUCGCCGAAGCAUGCUUAACUGCGGAGUUUAGAUGGGAUCUGGUGCAUUAGUGCUGGUAUGAUCGCAUCUGUUACUACAUGCAAUGCAAUCGUAUCUAUUCUUAUUUAAAGACUUUAUCAUCCAUUUGCCAUGGGUCCCACCUGUAGGAAUACCCAAUCUUGUUUAUAAGAGCUUUGAUACAUGCAAAAUAUUCGAAAACAACGUCCGAACAUAUAAUUUUCGCCCCGUAAUAUAGCAAAGAUCACGAAAAGGCCCGAAAAAGUACAUUAAGGUCAAAAUUUGGAAUAGAAAAAAAAACCAAUAGAAGUAUUCCAUUGUCCUUUGUCAUUCAUCGAAGAGCUCUCUUUGGGCUUUCCGAAAAGGUAUCGCAAGCCAAGUUUGGCCUCACGGUUUAAAAGUUAUAAAGUCAUACAUUUUUAACAAAAAAAAAAAGAGAAAAAACCGAAAAAAAGAGGGAUGCAACACGAGGACUUUUCUGGAGGUCACCCAUCCUAAUACUUCUCUCGCCCGAUCACCCUUAACUACGUAGUUUUGAUGGGAUUCGAUGCAUUAGUGCUGGUAUGAUCGCAUCUGUUACUACAUGCAAUGUAAUCGUAUCUAUUCUUUUUUAAAGACUUUAUGAUCCAUUUGCCGUGGGUCCCACCAGCUAUGUAGGAAUACCCUAUCUUCUUUAUAAGAGCUUUGAUAUAUGCAAAAUAUUGGAAAACCAUGUCCGAACAUAUAAUUUUUCCCCUGUAAUAUAGCAAAGAUCAAGAAAAAGCCAAAAAAGUAUAUUUAGGUCAAAAUUUGGAGUAGAAAAAAAAACAAUAGAAGAAUUCCAUUUUCCUUCCUCAGUCAUCGGAGAGCUCUCUUUGGGCUUUCCGAAAAGGUAUCAAAUGCCAAGUUUGGCCUCACGGUCUAAAAGUUAUAGAGUCAUACAUUUUUAACAAUACAAAGUAGAGAAAACCGGAAAAAAGAGGGAUGCAACAUGAGGACUUUCCGGGAGGUAAUCCAUCCUAGUACAACUCUUGCCCAAGCACCCUUAACUGCGGAGUUCUGAUGGAAUCCGGUGCAUUAGUGCUGGUAUGAUCGCAUGUGUUACUACAUGCAAUGUAAUCGUAUCUAUUCUUUUUUAAAGACUUUAUGAUCCAUUUGCCGUGGGUCCCACCAGCUAUGUAGGAAUACCCUAUCUUCUUUAUAAGAGCUUUGAUACAUGCAAAAUAUAUGAAAAAACGUUCGAACAUAUAAUUUUUCCCCCCGUAAUAUAGCAAAGAUCACGAAAAGGCCCGAAAAAGUACAUUUAGUUCAAAAUUUGGAGUAGAAAAACCCAAUAGAAGAAUUCCAUUUUCCUUCGUCAUUCAUCGGAGAGCUCUCUUUGGGCUUUCCGAAAAGGUAUCACAUGCCAAGUUUGGCCUCACGGUCUAAACGUUAUAGAGUCAUACAUUUUUAACAAAACAAAAUUGAGAAAAACCGAAAAAAAGAGGGAUGCAACACGAGGACUCUCCAGAAGGUAACCCAUCUUAGUACUACUUUCGCCCAAGCACCCUUAACUGCGGAGUUCUGAUAGGACCCGGUGCAUUAGUGCUGGUAUGAUCGCAUGUGUUACUACAUGCAAUGUAAUCGUAUAUAUUCAUUUUUAAAGACUUUAUGAUCCAUUUGCCGUGGGUCCUACCAGCUAUGUAGAAAUACCCUAUCUUCUUUAUAAGAGCUUUCAUUCACGCAAAAUAAUGGAAAACAAUGUCCGAAGAUAUAAUUUCCCCCCCCCCCCGUAAUAUAGCAAAGAUCACGAAAAGGCCCGAAAAAGUACAUUAAGUUCAAAAUUUGGAGUAGAAAAAAAAACAAUAGAAGAAUUCCAUUUUCCUUCCUCAGUCAUCGGAGAGCUCUCUUUGGGCUUUCCGAAAAGGUAUCACAUGCCAAGCUUGGCCUCACGGUCUAAAGGUUAUAGAGUCAUACAUUUUUAACAAAAAAAAAAUAGAAAAACAGAAAAAAGAGGGAUGCAAUACGAGGACUUUCCAGGAGGUCACCCAUCCUAGUACAACUCUCGCCGAAGCACGCUUAACUACGGUGUUCAGAUGGAAUCUGGUGCAUUAGUGCUGGUAUGAUGUCAUUUGUUACUACAUGCAAUGCAAUCAUAUCUAUUCUUAUUUAAAGACUUUAUGAUCCAUUUGCCGUGGGUCCCACCUGUAGGAAUACCCUAUCUUGUUUAUAAAAGAUUUGAUACAUGCAAAAUACUCGAAAACAAUGUCCGAACAUAUAAUUUUCACCCCGUAAUAUAGCAAAGAUCACGAAAAGGCCCGAAAAAGUACAUUAAAGUCAAAAUUUGGAGUAGAAAAAAACCCAAUAGAAGUAUUCCAUUCUCCUUCGUCAUUCAUCGGAGAGCUCUCUUUAGGCUUUCCGAAAAGAUAUCACAUGCCAAGUUUGGCCUCACGGUUUAAAAGUUAUAGAGUCAUAGAUUUUUAACAAAACAAAAAGAGAAAAACCGAAAAAAAUUGGGAUGCAACACGAGGACUUUCCUGGAGGUCACCCAUCCUAGUACUACUCUCGCCCAAGCACCCUUAACUGCGUAGUUCUGAUGGGAUCCGAUGCUUUAGUGCUGGUAUGAUCGCAUCUGUUACUACAUGCAAUGUAAUCGUAUCUAUUCUUUUUUAAAGACUUUAUGAUCCAUUUGCCGUGGGUCCCACCAGCUAUGUAGGAAUACCCUAUCUUCUUUAUAAGAGCUUUGAUAAAUGCAAAAUAUUGGAAACCAAUGUCCGAACAUAUAAUUUCGCCCCCGUAAUAUAGCAAAGAUCACGAAAAAGCCCAAAAAAGUUCAUUUAGGUCAAAAUUUGAGCAGAAGAAAAAGAAAUAGAAGAAUUCCAUUUUCCUUCCUCAUUUAUUGGAGAGCUCUCUUUGGGCUUUCCGAAAAGGUAUCACAUGCCAAGUUUGGCCUCACGGUCUAAAAGUUAUAGAGUCAUACAUUUUUAACAAAAUGAAAUAGAGAAAAACCGAAAAAAAGAGGGAUGUAACACGAGGACUUUCCGGGAGGUAAUCUAUCCUACUACUACUCUCGGCCAAGCACCCUUAACUGCGGAGUUCUAAUGGGAUCCGGUGCAUUAGUGCUGGUAUGAUCGCAUGUGUUACUACAUGCAAUGUAAUCGUAUCUAUUCUUUUUUAAAGACUUUAUGAUCCAUUUGCCGUGGGUCCCACCAGCUAUGUAGGAAUACCCUAUUUUCUUUAUAAGAGCUUUGAUACAUGCAAAAUAUUGGAAAACAAUGUCCGAACAUAUUAUUUUCCCCCCGUAAUAUAGCAAAGAUCACGAAAAGGCCCGAAAAAGUACAUUUAGUUCAAAAUGUGGAGUAGAAAAAAAAACAAUAGAAGAAUUCCAUUUUCCUUCGUCAUUCAUCGGAGAGCUCUCUUUAGGCUUUCCGAAAAGGUAUCACAUGCCAAGUUUGGCCUCACGGUCUAAAAGUUAUAGAAUCAUACAUUUUUAACAAAACAAAAUAGAGAAAAACCGAAAAAGAGGGAUUUAACACGAGGACUUUCCGAGAGGUAACCCAUCCUAGUACUACUCUCGUCCAAGCACCCUUAACUGCGGAGUUCUGAUGGGAUCCGGUGUAUUAGUGCUGGUAUGAUCGCAUGUGUUACUACAUGCAAUGUAAUCGUAUCUAUUCUUUUUUAAAGACUUUAUAAUCCAUUUGCCGUGGGUCCCACCAGCUAUGUAGGAAUACCCUAUUUUCUUUAUAAGAGCUUUGAUACAUGCAAAAUAUUAGAAAACAAUGUCCGAACAUAUUAUUUUCCCCCCGUUAUAUAGCAAAGAUCACGAAAAGGCCCGAAAAAGUACAUUUAGUUCAAAAUUUGGAGUAGAAAAAAAAACAAUAGAAGAAUUCCAUUUUCCUUCGUCAUUCAUCGGAGAGCUCUCUUUAGGCUUUCCGAAAAGGUAUCACAUGCCAAGUUUGGCCUCACGGUCUAAAAGUUAUAGAGUCAUACAUUUUUAACAAAACAAAAUAGAGAAAAACCGAAAAAAGAGGGAUUUAACACGAGGACUUUCUGAGAGGUAACCCAUCCGAGUACUACACUCGCCCAAGCACCCUUAACUACGGAGUUCUGAUGGGAUACGGUGCAUUAGUGCUGGUUUGAUCGCAUCUGUUACUACAUGCAAUGUAAUCGUAUCUAUUCUUUUUUAAAGACUUUAUGAUCCAUUUGCCGUGGGUGCCACCAACUAUGUAGGAUUAUCCUAUAUUCUUUAUAAGAGCUUUGAUACAUGAAAAAUAUUCGAAAACAAUGUCCGAACAUAUAAUUUCCACCCGUAAUAUAGCAAAGAUCACGAAAAGGCCCAAAAAAGUACAUUAAGUUUAAAAUUUGGAGUAGAAAAAAAACCAAUAGAAGAAUUCCAUUUUCCUUCCUCAGUCAUCGGAGAGCUCUCUUUGGGCUUUCCGAAAAGGUAUCACAUGCCAAGUUUGACCUCACGGUCUAAAGGUUAUAGAGUCAUACAUUUUUAACAAAAAAAAAUAGAAAAACAGGAAAAAAGAGGGAUGCAAUACGAGGACUUUCCAGGAGGUCACCCAUCCUAGUACAACUCUCGCCGAAGCACGCUUAACUGCGGUGUUCAGAUGGGAUCUGGUGCAUUAGUGCUCGUAUGAUGGCAUUUGUUACUACAUGCAAUGCAAUCGUAUCUACUCUUAUUUAAAGACUUUAUGAUCCAUUUGCCGUGGGUGCCACCAACUAUGUAGGAUUAUCCUAUAUUCUUUAUAAGAGCUUUGAUACAUGCAAAAUAUUCGAAAGCAAUGUCCGAACAUAUAAUUUCCCCCCCGUAAUAUAGCAAAGAUCACGAAAAGGCCCGAAAAAGUACAUUUAGUUCAAAAUUUGGAGUAGAAAAAAAAACAAUAGAAGAAUUCCAUUUUCCUUCGUCAUUCAUCGGAGAGCUCUCUUUAGGCUUUCCGAAAAGGUAUCACAUGCCAAGUUUGGCCUCACGGUCUAAAAGUUAUAGAGUCAUACAUUUUCAACAAAACAAAAUAGAGAAACACCGAAAAAAGAGGGAUUUAACACGAGGACUUUCCGAGAGGUAACCCAUCCUAGUACUACUCUCGUCCAAGCACCCUUAACUGCGGAGUUCUGAUGGGAUCCGGUGCAUUAGUGCUGGUAUGAUCGCAUGUGUUACUACAUGCAAUGUAAUCAUAUCUAUUCUUUUUUUAAAGACUUUAUGAUUCAUUUGCCGUGGGUCCCACCAGCUAUGUAGGAAUACCCUAUUUUCUUUAUAACAGCUUUGAUACAUGCAAAAUAUUGGAAAACAAUGUCCGAACAUAUUAUUUUCCUCCCGUAAUAUAGCAAAGAUCACGAAAAGGCCCGAAAAAGUACAUUUAGUUCAAAAUUUGGAGUAGAAAAAAAAACAAUAGAAGAAUUCCAUUUUCCUUCGUCAUUCAUCGGAGAGCUCUCUUUAGGCUUUCCGAAAAGGUAUCACAUGCCAAGUUUGGCCUCACGGUCUAAAAGUAUAGAGUCAUACAUUUUUAAAAAAACAAAAUAGAGAAAAACCGAAAAAAGAGGGAUUUAACACGAGGACUUUCCGAGAGGUAACCCAUCCUAGUACUACUCUCGUCCAAGCACCCUUAACUGCGGAGUUCUAAUGGGAUCUGGUGCAUUAGUGCUGGUAUGAUCGCAUGUGUUACUACAUGCAAUGUAAUCGUAUCUAUUCUUUUUUAAAGACUUUAUGAUCCAUUUGCCGUGGGUCCCACCAGCUAUGUAGGAAUACCCUAUUUUCUUUAUAAGAGCUUUGAUACAUGCAAAAUAUUGGAAAACAAUGUCCGAACAUAUUAUUUUCCCCCCGUUAUAUAGCAAAGAUCACGAAAAGGCCCGAAAAAGUACAUUUAGUUCAAAAUUUGGAGUAGAAAGAAAAACAAUAGAAGAAUUCCAUUUUCCUUCGUCAUUCAUCUGAGAGCUCUCUUUAGGCUUUCCGAAAAGGUAUCACAUGCCAAGUUUGGCCUCACGGUCUAAAAGUUAUAGAGUCAUACAUUUUUAACAAAACAAAAUAGAGAAAAACCGAAAAAGAGGGAUUUAAGACGAGGACUUUCUGAGAGGUAACCCAUCCGAGUACUACACUCGCCCAAGCACCCUUAACUACGGAGUUCUGAUGGGAUACGGUGCAUUAGUGCUGGUUUGAUCGCAUGUGUUACUACAUGCAAUGUAAUCGUAUCUAUUCUUUUUUAAAGACUUUAUGAUCCAUUUGCCGUGGGUGCCACCAACUAUGUAGGAUUAUCCUAUAUUCUUUAUAAGAUCUUUGAUACUUGCAAAAUAUUCGAAAAAAAUGUCCGAACAUAUAAUUUCCCCCCCGUAAUAUAGCAAAGAUCACGAAAAGGCCCAAAAAAGUACAUUAAGUUUAAAAUUUGGAGUAGAAAAAAAACCAAUAGAAGAAUUCCAUUUUCCUUCCUCAGUCAUCGGAGAGCUCUCUUUGGGCUUUCCGAAAAGUUAUCACAUGCCAAGUUUGACCUCACGGUCUAAAGGUUAUAGAGUCAUACAUUUUUAACAAAAAAAAAUAGAAAAACAGGAAAAAAGAGGGAUGCAAUACGAGGACUUUCCAGCAGGUCACCCAUCCUAGUACAACUCUCGCCAAAGCACGCUUAACUGCGGUGUUCAGAUGGGAUCUGGUGCAUUAGUGCUUGUAUGAUGGCAUUUGUUACUACAUGCAAUGCAAUCGUAUCGAUUCUUAUUUAAAGACUUUAUGAUCCAUUUGUCGUGGGUGCCACCUGUAGGAAUACCCUAUCUUGUUUAUAAGAGAUUUGAUACAUGCAAAAUAUUCGAAAACAAUGUCCGAACAUAUAAUUUUUGCCCCGUAAUAUAGAAAAGAUCACAAAAAAGUCCAAAAAAGUACAUUUAGGUCAAAAUUUGAGCAGAAAAAAAAGAAAUAGAAGAAUUCCAUUUUCCUUCGUCAUUCAUCGGAGAGCUCUCUUUAGGCUUUCCGAAAAGAUAUCACAUGCCAAGUUUGGCCUCACGGUCUAAAAGUUAUAGAGUCAUACAUUUUUCACAAAACAAAAAGAGAAAAACCGAAAAAAAUAGGGAUGCAACACGAGGACUUUCCUGGAGGUCACCCAUCCUAGUACUAAUCUCGCCCAAGCACCCUUAACUGCGUAGUUCUGAUGGGAUCCGAUGCAUUAGUCCUGGUAUGAUCGCAUCUGUUACUAUAUGCAAUAUAAUCGUAUCUAUUCUUUUUUAAAGACUUUAUGAUCCAUUUGCCGUGGGUCCCACCAGCUAUGUAGGAUACCCUAUCUUCAUAAUAAGAGCUUUGAUAAAUGCAAAAUAUUGGAAAACAAUGUCCGAACAUAUAAUUUCCCCCCCCCCCCCCGUAAUAUAGCAAAGAUCACGAAAAAGCCCAAAAAAGUACAUUUAGGUCAAAAUUUGAGUAGAAAAAAAAACAAAUAGAGGAAUUCCAUUUUCCGUCCUCAUUCAUCGGAGAGCUCUCUUUCGGCUUUCCGAAAAGGUAUCACAUGCCAAGUUUGGCCUCACGGUCUAAAAGUUAUAGAGUCAUACAUUUUUAACAAAACAAAAUAGAGAAAAACCGAAAAAAAGAAGGAUGCAACACGAGGACUUCCCGGGAGGUCACCCAUCCUAGUACUACUCUCGCCUAAGCACCCUUAACUGCGGAGUUCUGAUGGGAUCAGGUGCAUUAGUGCUGGUAUGAUCGCAUGUGGUACUACAUGCAAUGUAAUCGUAUCUAUUCCUUUUGAAAGACUUUAUGAUCCAUUUGCCGUGGGUCCCACCAGCUAUGUAGGAAUACCCUAUCUUCUUUAUAAGAGCUUUGAUACAUGCAAAAUAUUUGAAAACAAUGUCCGAACAUAUAAUUUUCCCCCCGUUAUAUAGCAAAGAUCACGAAAAGGCCCAAAAAAGUACAAUUAGUUCAAAAUUUGGAGUAGAAAAAAAAACAAUAGAAGAAUUCCAUUUUCCUUCCUCAGUCAUCGGAGAGCUCUCUUUGGGCUUUCCAAAAAGGUAUCACAUGCCAAGUUUGGCCUCACAGUCUAAAAGUUAUAGAGUCAUACAUUUUUAACAAAACAAAAUAGAGAAAAACCGAAAAAAAGAGGGAUGCAACACGAGGACUUUCCGGGAGGUAACCCAUCCUAGUACUACUCUCGCCCAAGCACCCUUAACUGCGGAGUUUUGAUGGGAUCCGGUGCAUUAGUGUUGGUAUGAUCGCAUGUGUUACUACAUGCAAUGUAAUCGUAUCUAUUCCUUUUGAAAGACUUUAUGAUCCAUUUGCCGUGGGUCCCACCAGCUAUGUAGGAAUACCCUAUCUUCUUUAUAAGAGCUUUGAUACAUACAAAAUAUUGGAUCACAAUGUCAUAACAUAUAAUUUUCCCCCCUUAAUAUAGCAAAGAUCACGAAAAGGCCCGAAAAAAUACAUUUAGUUCAAAAUUUGGAGUAGAAAAAAAAAAUAUAAGAAUUCCAUUUUCCUUCCUCUGUUAUCGGAGAGCUCUCUUUGGGCUUUCCGAAAAGGUAUCACAUGCCAAGUUUGGCCUCACGGUCUAAAAGAUAUAAAGUCAUACAUUAUUAACAAAACAAAAUAGAGAAAAACCGAAAAAAAGAAGGAUGCAACACGAGGACUUUCCGGGAGGUAAUCUAUCCUAGUACUACUCUCGCCCAAGCACCCUUAACUGCGGAGUUCUGAUGGGAUCCGGUGCAUUAGUGUUGGUAUGAUCGCAUGUGUUACUACAUGCAAUGUAACCGUAUCUAUUCUUUUUUAAAGACUUUAUGAUCCAUUUGCCGUGGGUCCCACCAGCUAUGUAGGAAUAUUCUAUCUUCUUUAUAAGAGCUUUGAUACAUGCAAAAUAUUGGAAAACAACGUCCGAACAUAUAAUUUCCCCCCCCCCCCGUAAUAUAGCAAAAAUCACGAAAAGGCCCGAAAAAGUACAUUUAGUUCAAAAUUUGCAGUAGAAAAAAAAACAAUAGAAGAAUUUCAUUUUCCUUCCUCAGUCAUCGGAGAGCUCUCUUUGGGCUUUCCAAAAAGGUAUCACAUGCCAAGUUUGGCCUCACAGUCUAAAAGUUAUAGAGUCAUACAUUUUUAACAAAACAAAAUAGAGAAAAACCGAAAAAAGAGGGAUGCAACACGAGGACUUUCCCGGAGGUAAUCUAUCCUAGUACUACUCUCGCCCAAGCACCCUUAACUGCGGAGUUCUGAUGGGAUCCGGUGCAGUAGUGCUGGUAUGAUCGCAUGUGUUACUACAUGCAAUGUAAUCGUAUCUAUUCUUUUUUAAAGACUUUAUGAUCCAUUUGCCGUGAGUCCCACCAGCUAUGUAGGAAUAUUCUAUCUUCUUUAUAAGAGCUUUGAUACAUGCAAAAUACUGGAAAACAAUGUCCGAACAUAUAAUUUUCCCCACGUAAUAUAGCAAAGAUCACGAAAAGGCCCGAAAAAGUACAUUUAGUUCAAAAUUUGGAGUAGAAAAAAAAACAAUAGAAGAAUUUCAUUUUCCUUCCCUAGUCAUCGGAGAGCUCUCUUUGGGCUUUCCAAAAAGGUAUCACAUGCCAAGUUUGGCCUCACAGUCUAAAAGUUAUAGAGUCAUACAUUUUUAACAAAACAAAAUAGAGAAAAACCGAAAAAAAAGAGGGAUGCAACACGAGGACUUUCUGGGAGGUAAUCUAUCCUAGUACUACUCUCGCCCAAGCACCCUUAACUGCGGAGUUCUGAUGGGAUCCGGUGCAGUAGUGCUGGUAUGAUCGCAUGUGUUACUACAUGCAAUGUAAUCGUAUCUAUUCUUUUUUAAAGACUUUAUGAUCCAUUUGCCGUGAGUCCCACCAGCUAUGUAGGAAUAUUCUAUCUUCUUUAUAAGAGCUUUGAUACAUGCAAAAUACUGGAAAACAAUGUCCGAACAUAUAAUUUUCCCCCCGUAAUAUAGCAAAGAUCACGAAAAGGCCCAGAAAAGUACAUUUAGUUCAAAAUUUGGAGUAGAAAAAAAAACAAUAGAAGAAUUCCAUUUUCCUUCCUCAAUCAUCGGAGAGCUCUCUUUGGGCUUUCCGAAAAGGUAUCUCAUGCCAAGUUUGGCCUCACGAACUAAAAGUUAUAGAGUCAUACAUUUUUAACAAAACAAAAUAGAGAAAAACCGAAAAAAGAGGGAUGCAACACAAGGACUUUCCGGGAGGUCACCCAUCCUAGUACUACUCUCGCCCAAGCACCCUUAACUGCGGAGUUCUGAUGGGAUCCAGUGCAUUAGUGCUGGUAUGAUCGCAUGUGUUACUACAUGCAAUGUAAUCGUAUCUAUUCUUUUUUAAAGAUUUUAUGAUCCAUUUGCCGUGGGUCCCACCAGCUAUGUAGGAAUACCCUAUCUUCUUUAUAAGAGCUUUGAUACAUACAAAAUAUUGGAUCACAAUGUCAGAACAUAUAAUUUUCCCCCCUUAAUAUAGCAAAGUUCACUAAAAGGCCCGAAAAAAUACAUUUAGUUCAAAAUUUGGAGUAGAAAAAAAAACAAUAGAAGAAUUUCAUUUUCCUUCCUCAGUCAUCGGAGAGCUCUCUUUGGGCUUUCCAAAAAGGUAUCACAUGCCAAGUUUGGCCUCACAGUCUAAAAGUUAUAGAGUCAUACAUUUUUAACAAAACAAAAUAGAGAAAAACCGAAAAAAGAGGGAUGCAACACGAGGACUUUCCCGGAGGUAAUCUAUCCUAGUACUACUCUCGCCCAAGCACCCUUAACUGCGGAGUUCUGAUGGGAUCCGGUGCAGUAGUGCUGGUAUGAUCGCAUGUGUUACUACAUGCAAUGUAAUCGUAUCUAUUCUUUUUUAAAGACUUUAUGAUCCAUUUGCCGUGAGUCCCACCAGCUAUGUAGGAAUAUUCUAUCUUCUUUAUAAGAGCUUUGAUACAUGCAAAAUACUGGAAAACAAUGUCCGAACAUAUAAUUUUCCCCACGUAAUAUAGCAAAGAUCACGAAAAGGCCCGAAAAAGUACAUUUAGUUCAAAAUUUGGAGUAGAAAAAAAAACAAUAGAAGAAUUUCAUUUUCCUUCCUCAGUCAUCGGAGAGCUCUCUUUGGGCUUUCCAAAAAGGUAUCACAUGCCAAGUUUGGCCUCACAGUCUAAAAGUUAUAGAGUCAUACAUUUUUAACAAAACAAAAUAGAGAAAAACCGAAAAAAAAGAGGGAUGCAACACGAGGACUUUCUGGGAGGUAAUCUAUCCUAGUACUACUCUCGCCCAAGCACCCUUAACUGCGGAGUUCUGAUGGGAUCCGGUGCAGUAGUGCUGGUAUGAUCGCAUGUGUUACUACAUGCAAUGUAAUCGUAUCUAUUCUUUUUUAAAGACUUUAUGAUCCAUUUGCCGUGAGUCCCACCAGCUAUGUAGGAAUAUUCUAUCUUCUUUAUAAGAUCUUUGAUACAUGCAAAAUACUGGAAAACAAUGUCCGAACAUAUAAUUUUCCCCCCGUAAUAUAGCAAAGAUCACGAAAAGGCCCAGAAAAGUACAUUUAGUUCAAAAUUUGGAGUAGAAAAAAAAACAAUAGAAGAAUUCCAUUUUCCUUCCUCAAUCAUCGGAGAGCUCUCUUUGGGCUUUCCGAAAAGGUAUCUCAUGCCAAGUUUGGCCUCACGAACUAAAAGUUAUAGAGUCAUACAUUUUUAACAAAACAAAAUAGAGAAAAACCGAAAAAAGAGGGAUGCAACACAAGGACUUUCCGGGAGGUCACCCAUCCUAGUACUACUCUCGCCCAAGCACCCUUAACUGCGGAGUUCUGAUGGGAUCCAGUGCAUUAGUGCUGGUAUGAUCGCAUGUGUUACUACAUGCAAUGUAAUCGUAUCUAUUCUUUUUUAAAGAUUUUAUGAUCCAUUUGCCGUGGGUCCCACCAGCUAUGUAGGAAUACCCUAUCUUCUUUAUAAGAGCUUUGAUACAUACAAAAUAUUGGAUCACAAUGUCAGAACAUAUAAUUUUCCCCCCUUAAUAUAGCAAAGUUCACUAAAAGGCCCGAAAAAAUACAUUUAGUUCAAAAUUUGGAGUAGAAAAAAAAACAAUAGAAGAAUUUCAUUUUCCUUCCUCAGUCAUCGGAGAGCUCUCUUUGGGCUUUCCAAAAAGGUAUCACAUGCCAAGUUUGGCCUCACAGUCUAAAAGUUAUAGAGUCAUACAUUUUUAACAAAACAAAAUAGAGAAAAACCGAAAAAAAGAGGGAUGCAACACGAGGACUUUCUGGGAGGUAAUCUAUCCUAGUACUACUCUCGCCCAAGCACCCUUAACUGCGGAGUUCUGAUGGGAUCCGGUGCAGUAGUGCUGGUAUGAUCGCAUGUGUUACUACAUGCAAUGUAAUCGUAUCUAUUCUUUUUUAAAGACUUUAUGAUCCAUUUGCCGUGAGUCCCACCAGCUAUGUAGGAAUAUUCUAUCUUCUUUAUAAGAGCUUUGAUACAUGCAAAAUACUGGAAAACAAUGUCCGAACAUAUAAUUUUCCCCCCGUAAUAUAGCAAAGAUCACGAAAAGGCCCGAAAAAGUACAUUUAGUUCAAAAUUUGGAGUAGAAAAAAAAACAAUAGAAGAAUUCCAUUUUCCUUCCUCAAUCAUCGGAGAGCUCUCUUUGGGCUUUCCGAAAAGGUAUCUCAUGCCAAGUUUGGCCUCACGAACUAAAAGUUAUAGAGUCAUACAUUUUUAACAAAACAAAAUAGAGAAAAACCGAAAAAAGAGGGAUGCAACACAAGGACUUUCCGGGAGGUCACCCAUCCUAGUACUACUCUCGCCCAAGCACCCUUAACUGCGGAGUUCUGAUGGGAUCCAGUGCAUUAGUGCUGGUAUGAUCGCAUGUGUUACUACAUGCAAUGUAAUCGUAUCUAUUCUUUUUUAAAGAUUUUAUGAUCCAUUUGCCGUGGGUCCCACCAGCUAUGUAGGAAUACCCUAUCUUCUUUAUAAGAGCUUUGAUACAUACAAAAUAUUGGAUCACAAUGUCAGAACAUAUAAUUUUCCCCCCUUAAUAUAGCAAAGUUCACUAAAAGGCCCGAAAAAAUACAUUUAGUUCAAAAUUUGGAGUAGAAAAAAAAACAAUAGAAGAAUUUCAUUUUCCUUCCUCAGUCAUCGGAGAGCUCUCUUUGGGCUUUCCAAAAAGGUAUCACAUGCCAAGUUUGGCCUCACAGUCUAAAAGUUAUAGAGUCAUACAUUUUUAACAAAACAAAAUAGAGAAAAACCGAAAAAAAGAGGGAUGCAACACGAGGACUUUCUGGGAGGUAAUCUAUCCUAGUACUACUCUCGCCCAAGCACCCUUAACUGCGGAGUUCUGAUGGGAUCCGGUGCAGUAGUGCUGGUAUGAUCGCAUGUGUUACUACAUGCAAUGUAAUCGUAUCUAUUCUUUUUUAAAGACUUUAUGAUCCAUUUGCCGUGAGUCCCACCAGCUAUGUAGGAAUAUUCUAUCUUCUUUAUAAGAGCUUUGAUACAUGCAAAAUACUGGAAAACAAUGUCCGAACAUAUAAUUUUCCCCCCGUAAUAUAGCAAAGAUCACGAAAAGGCCCGAAAAAGUACAUUUAGUUCAAAAUUUGGAGUAGAAAAAAAAACAAUAGAAGAAUUCCAUUUUCCUUCCUCAAUCAUCGGAGAGCUCUCUUUGGGCUUUCCGAAAAGGUAUCUCAUGCCAAGUUUGGCCUCACGAACUAAAAGUUAUAGAGUCAUACAUUUUUAACAAAACAAAAUAGAGAAAAACCGAAAAAAGAGGGAUGCAACACAAGGACUUUCCGGGAGGUCACCCAUCCUAGUACUACUCUCGCCCAAGCACCCUUAACUGCGGAGUUCUGAUGGGAUCCGGUGCAUUAGUGCUGGUAUGAUCGCCCGUGUUACUACAUGCAAUGCAAUCGUAUCUAUUCUUUUUUAAAGAUUUUAUGAUCCAUUUGCCGUGGGUCCCACCAGCUAUGUAGGAAUACCCUAUCUUCUUUAUAAGAGGUUUGAUACAUACAAAAUAUUGGAUCACAAUGUCAGAACAUAUAAUUUUCCCCCCUUAAUAUAGCAAAGAUCACUAAAAGGCCCGAAAAAAUACAUUUAGUUCAAAAUUUGGAGUAGAAAAAAAAACAAUAGAAGAAUUCCAUUUUCCUUCCUCAGUUAUCGGAGAACUCUCUUUGGGCUUUCCGAAAAGGUAUCACAUGCCAAGUUUGGCCUCACGGUCUAAAAGAUAUAGAGUCAUACAUUAUUAACAAAACAAAAUAGAGAAAAACCGAAAAAAAGAAGGAUGCAACACGAGGACUUUGCGGGAGGUAAUCUAUCCUAGUACUACUCUCGCCCAAGCACCCUUAACUGCGGAGUUCUGAUGGGAUCCGGUGCAUUAGUGCUGGUAUGAUCGCAUGUGUUACUACAUGCAAUGUAAUCGUAUCUAUUCUUUUUUAAAGACUUUAUGAUCCAUUUGCCGUGGGUCCNNNNNNNNNNNNNNNNNNNNNNNNNNNNNNNNNNNNNNNNNNNNNNNNNNACAUGCCAAGUUUGGCCUUACGGUCUAAAAGUUAUAGAGUAAUACANUUUUUAACAAAAAAAAAAGAAAAAAACCGAAAACAAAGAGGGAUGCAACACGAAGACUUUCCUGGAGGUCACCCAUCCUAGUACUACUCUCGCCCAAGCACACUUAACUGCGGUGUUCUGAUAGGAUCAAGUGCAUUAGUGCUGGUAUGAUCGCAUCAGUUACUACAUGCAAUGCAAUCAUAUAUAUUCUUUUUUGAAGACUUUAUGAUCCAUUUGCCGUAGGUCCCACCAGCUAUGUAGGAAUACCCUAUCUCGUUUAUAAGAGCUUUGAUACAUGCAAAAUAUUCGAAAACAAUGUCCGAACAUAUAAUUUUUGUCCCGUAAUAUAGCAAAGAUCGCGAAAAGGCCAUAAAAAAUACAUUUCGGUCAAAAUUUGGAGUAGAAAAAAAACCCUUCCUCAUUCAUUGGACAGCUCUCUUUGGGCUUUCCGAAAAGGUAUCACAUGCCAAGUUUGGCCUCACGGUCUAAACCUUAUAGACUCAUACAUUUUUCACAAAAAAAAGAAGAGAAAAACCAAAAAAAAGAGUGAUUAAACACGAGGACUUUCCUGGAGGUCACCCAUCCUAGUACUACUCUCGCCCAAGCACGCUUAACUGCGAAGUUCUGAUGGGAUCUGGUGCAUUAGUGCUGGUAUGAUCGCAUCUGUUACUACAUGCAAUGCAAUCGUAUUUAUUCUUUUUUGAAGAUUUUAUGAUUCAUUUACCGUGGGUCCCACCAGCUAUGUAGGAAUAACCUAUCUUAUUUAUAAAAGCUUUGAUACAUGCAAAAUAUUAGAAAACAAUGUCCGAACAUAUAAUGUUCGCCCCAAAAUAUAGCAAAGACCACAAAAAUGCCAUAAAAAGUACAUUAAGGUCAAAAUUUGGAGUAGGAAAAAAAUCAAUAGGAGAAUUCCAUUUUCCUUCCUUCAUUCAUCGGAGAGCUCUCUUUGGGCAUUCCAAAAAGGUAUCACAUGCCAAGUUUGGCCUCACGGUCUAAAAGUUAUAGAGUAAUACAUUUUUAACAAAAAAAAAAGAAAAAAACCGAAAACAAAGAGGGAUGCAACACGAAGACUUUCCUGGAGGUCACCCAUCCUAGUACUACUCUCGCCCAAGCACACUUAACUGCGGUGUUCUGAUAGGAUCAAGUGCAUUAGUGCUGGUAUGAUCGCAUCAGUUACUACAUGCAAUGCAAUCAUAUAUAUUCUUUUUUGAAGACUUUAUGAUCCAUUUGCCGUAGGUCCCACCAGCUAUGUAGGAAUACCCUAUCUCGUUUAUAAGAGCUUUGAUACAUGCAAAAUAUUCGAAAACAAUGUCCGAACAUAUAAUUUUUGUCCCGUAAUAUAGCAAAGAUCACGAAAAGGCCAGAAAAAAUACAUUUCGGUCAAAAUUUGGAGUAGAAAAAAAACCCUUCCUCAUUCAUUGGACAGCUCUUUUUGGGCUUUCCGAAAAGGUAUCACAUGCCAAGUUUGGCCUCACGGUCUAAACCUUAUAGACUCAUACAUUUUUCACAAAAAAAAGAAGAGAAAAACCAAAAAAAAGAGUGAUUAAACACGAGGACUUUCCUGGAGGUCACCCAUCCUAGUACUACUCUCGCCCAAGCACGCUUAACUGCGAAGUUCUGAUGGGAUCUGGUGCAUUAGUGCUGGUAUGAUCGCAUCUGUUACUACAUGCAAUGCAAUCGUAUCUAUUCUUUUUUGAAGAUUUUAUGAUUCAUUUACCGUGGGUCCCACCAGCUAUGUAGGAAUAACCUAUCUUAUUUAUAAAAGCUUUGAUACAUGCAAAAUAUUCGAAAACAAUGUCCGAACAUAUAAUGUUCGCCCCAAAAUAUAGCAAAGACCACAAAAAUGCCAUAAAAAGUACAUUAAGGUCAAAAUUUGGAGUAGGAAAAAAAUCAAUAGGAGAAUUCCAUUUUCCUUCCCUCAUUCAUCGGAGAGCUCUCUUUGGGCAUUCCAAAAAGGUAUCACAUGCCAAGUUUGGCCUCACGGUCUAAAAGUUAUAGAGUAAUACAUUUUUAACAAAAACAAAAGAAAAAAACCGAAAACAAAGAGGGAUGCAACACGAAGACUUUCCUGGAGGUCACCCAUCCUAGUACUACUCUCGCCCAAGUACACUUAACUGCGGUGUUCUGAUAGGAUCAAGUGCAUUAGUGCUGGUAUGAUCGCAUCAGUUACUACAUGCAAUGCAAUCAUAUAUAUUCUUUUUUGAAGACUUUAUGAUCCAUUUGCCGUAGGUCCCACCAGCUAUGUAGGAAUACCCUAUCUUGUUUAUAAGAGCUUUCAUACAUGCAAAAUAUUCAAAAACAAUGUCCGAACAUAUAAUUUUUGUCCCGUAAUAUAGCAAAGAUCACGAAAAGGCCAGAAAAAAUACAUUUCGGUCAAAAUUUGGAGUAGAAAAAAAACCCUUCCUCAUUCAUUGGACAGCUCUCUUUGGGCUUUCUGAAAAGGUAUCACAUGCCAAGUUUGGCCUCACGGUCUAAACCUUAUAGACUCAUACAUUUUUCACAAAAAAAAGAAGAGAAAAACCAAAAAAAAGAGUGAUUAAACACGAGGACUUUCCUGGAGGUCACCCAUCCUAGUACUACUCUCGCCCAAGCACGCUUCACUGCGAAGUUCUGAUGGGAUCUGGUGCAUUAGUGCUGGUAUGAUCGCAUCUGUUACUACAUGCAAUGCAAUCGUAUCUAUUCUUUUUUGAAGAUUUUAUGAUUCAUUUACCGUGGGUCCCACCAGAUAGGAAUAACCUAUCUUAUUUAUAAAAGCUUUGAUACAUGCAAAAUAUUCGAAAACAAUGUCCGAACAUAUAAUGUUCGCCCCAAAAUAUAGCAAAGACCACAAAAAUGCAAUAAAAAGUACAUUAAGGUCAAAAUUUGGAGUAGGAAAAAAAUCAAUAGGAGAAUUCCAUUUUCCUUCCCUCAUUUAUCGGAGAGCUCUCUUUGGGCAUUCCAAAAAGGUAUCACAUGCCAAGUUUGGCCUCACGGUCUAAAAGUUAUAGAGUAAUACAUUUUUAACAAAACAAAAAAGAAAAAAACCGAAAACAAAGAGGGAUGCAACACGAAGACUUUCCUGGAGGUCACCCAUCCUAGUACUACUCUCGCCCAAGCACACUUAACUGCGGUGUUCUGAUAGGAUCAAGUGCAUUAGUGCUGGUAUGAUCGCAUCAGUUACUACAUGCAAUGCAAUCAUAUAUAUUCUUUUUUGAAGACUUUAUGAUCCAUUUGCCGUAGGUCCCACCAGCUAUGUAGGAAUACCCUAUCUUGUUUAUAAGAGCUUUGAUACAUGCAAAAUAUACGAAAACAAUGUCCGAACAUAUAAUUUUUGUCCCGUAAUAUAGCAAAAAGGCCAGAAAAAAUACAUUUCGGUCAAAAUUUGGAGUAGAAAAAAAACCCUUCCUCAUUCAUUGGACAGCUCUCUUUGGGCUUUCCGAAAAGGUAUCACAUGCCAAGUUUGGCCUCACGGUCUAAACCUUAUAGGCUCAUACAUUUUUCACAAAAAAAAGAAAAGAAAAACCAAAAAAAAGAGUGAUUAAACACGAGGACUUUCCGGGAGGUCACCCAUCCUAGUACUACUCUCGCCGAAGCACGCUUAACUGCGAAGUUCUGAUGGGAUCUGGUGCAUUAGUGCUGGUAUGAUCGCAUCUGUUACUACAUGCAAUGCAAUCGUAUCUAUUCUUUUUUGAAGAUUUUAUGAUUCAUUUACCGUGGGUCCCACCAGCUAUGUAGGAAUAACCUAUCUUAUUUAUAAAAGCUUUGAUACAUGCAAAAUAUUCGAAAACAAUGUCCGAACAUAUAAUGUUCGCCCCAAAAUAUAGCAAAGACCACAAAAAUGCCAUAAAAAGUACAUUAAGGUCAAAAUUUGGAGUAGGAAAAAAAUCAAUAGGAGAAUUCCAUUUUCCUUCCCUCAUUCAUCGGAGAGCUCUCUUUGGGCAUUCCAAAAAGGUAUCACAUGCCAAGUUUGGCCUCACGGUCUAANAGUUAUAGAGUAAUACAUUUUUAACAAAAAAAAAAGAAAAAAACCGAAAACAAAGAGGGAUGCAACACGAAGACUUUCCUGGAGGUCACCCAUCCUAGUACUACUCUCGCCCAAGUACACUUAACUGCGGUGUUCUGAUAGGAUCAAGUGCAUUAGUGCUGGUAUGAUCGCAUCAGUUACUACAUGCAAUGCAAUCAUAUAUAUUCUUUUUUGAAGACUUUAUGAUCCAUUUGCCGUAGGUCCCACCAGCUAUGUAGGAAUACCCUAUCUUGUUUAUAAGAGCUUUGAUACAUGCAAAAUAUUCGAAAACAAUGUCCGAACAUAUAAUUUUUGUCCCGUAAUAUAGCAAAGAUCACGAAAAGGCCAGAAAAAAUACAUUUCGGUCAAAAUUUGGAGUAGAAAAAAAGCCCUUCCUCAUUCAUUGGACAGCUCUCUUUGGGCUUUCCGAAAAGGUAUCACAUGCCAAGUUUGGCCUCACGGUCUAAACCUUAUAGACUCAUACAUUUUUCACAAAAAAAAGAAGAGAAAAACCAAAAAAAAGAGUGAUUAAACACGAGGAUUUUCCUGGAGGUCACCCAUCCUAGUACUACUCUCGCCCAAGCACGCUUAACUGCGAANNNNNNNNNNNNNNNNNNNNNNNNNNNNNNNNNNNNNNNNNNNNNNNNNNGUGUUACUACAUGCAAUGUAAUCGUAUCUAUUCUUUUUUAAAGACUUUAUGAUCCAUUUGCCGUGGGUCCCACCAGCUAUGUAGGAAUAUCCUAUAUUCUUUAUAAGAGCUUUGAUACAUGCAAAAUAUUCGAAAACAAUGUCCGAACAUAUAAUUUCCCCCCCGUAAUAUAGCAAAGAUCACGAAAAGGCCCAAAAAAGUACAUUAAGUUUAAAAUUUGGAGUAGAAAAAAAACCAAUAGAAAAAUUCCAUUUUCCUUCCUCAGUCAUCGAAGAGCUCUCUUUGGGCUUUCUGAAAAGGUAUCACAUGCCAAGUUUGGCCUCACGGUCUAAAAGUUAUAGAGUCAUACAUUUUUAACAAAACAAAAAGAGAAAAACCGAAAAAAACAGGGAUGCAACACGAGGACUUUCCUGGAGGUCUCCCAUCCUAGUACUACUCUCGCCCAAGCACCCUUAACUGCGUAGUUCUGAUGGGAUCCGAUGCAUUAGUGCUGGUAUGAUCGCAUCUGUUACUACAUGCAAUGUAAUCGUAUCUAUUCUUUUUUAAAGACNUUUAUGAUCCAUUUGCCGUGGGUCCCACCAGCUAUGUAGGAAUACCCUAUCUUCUUAAUAAGAGCCUUGAUAAAUGCAAAAUAUUGGAAAACAAUGUCCGAACAUAUAAUGCCCCCCCCCCCGUAAUAUAGCAAAGAUCACGAAAAUGCCCAAAAAAGUACAUUUAGGUCAAAAUUUGAGUAGAAAAAAAAACAAUAGAAGAAUUCCAUUUUCCUUCCUCAUUUAUCGGAGAGCUCUCUUUGGGCUUUCCGAAAAGGUAUCACAUGACAAGUUUGGCCUCACGGUCUAAAAGAUAUAGAGUCAUACAUUAUUAACAAAACAAAAUAGAGAAAAACCGAAAAAAAAGAGGGAUGCAACGCGAGGACUUUCCGGGAGGUAAUCUAUCCUAGUACUACUCUCGCCCAAGCACCCUUACCUGCGGAGUUCUGAUGGGAUCCGGUGCAGUAGUGCUGGUAUGAUCGCAUGUGUUACUACAUGCAAUGCAAUCAUAUAUAUUCUUUUUUGAAGACUUUAUGAUCCAUUUGCCGUAGGUCCCACCAGCUAUGUAGGAAUACCCUAUCUUGUUUAUAAGAGCUUUGAUACAUGCAAAAUAUUCGAAAACAAUGUCCGAACAUAUAAUUUUUGUCCCGUAAUAUAGCAAAGAUCACGAAAAGGCCAGAAAAAAUACAUUUCGGUCAAAAUUUGGAGUAGAAAAAAACCCCUUCCUCAUUCAUUGGACAGCUCUCUUUGGGCUUUCCGAAAAGGUAUCACAUGCCAAGUUUGGUCUCACGGUUUAAAAGUUAUAGAGUCAUACAUUUUUCACAAAAAAAAGAAGAGAAAAAACAAAAAAAAGAGUGAUGAAACACGAGGACUUUCCUAGAGGUCACCCAUCCUAGUACUACUCUCGCCCAAGCACGCGUAACUGCGAAGUUCUGAUGGGAUCUGGUGCAUUAGUGCUGGUAUGAUCGCAUCUGUUACUACAUGCAAUGCAAUCGUAUCUAUUCUUUUUUGAAGAUUUUAUGAUCCAUUUGCAGUGGGUCCCACCAGCUAUGUAGGAAUACCCUAUCUUGUUUAUAAGAGCUUUGAUACAUGCAAAAUCUUCGAAAACAAUGUCCGAACAUAUAAUUUUCGCCCCGUAAUAUAGCAAAGAUCACGAAAAUGCCAAAAUAGUACAUUAAGGUCAAAAUUUGGAGUAGGAAAAAAAACCCUUCAUCAUUCAUUGGAGAGCUCUCUCUGGGCUUUCCGAAAAGGUAUCACAUGCCAAGUUUGGCCUCACGGUCUAAAAGUUAUAAAGUCAUACAUUUUUAACAAAAAAAAAAGAGAAAAACCGAAAAAAAGAGUUAUGUAACACGAGGACUUUCCUGGAGGUCACCCGUCCUAGUACUACUCUCGCCCAAACACGCUUAACUGUGGUGUUCUGAUAGGAUCAAGUGCAUUAGUGCUGGUAUGAUCGCAUCAGUUACUACAUGCAAUGCAAUCAUAUAUAUUCUUUUUUGAAAACUUUAUGAUCCAUUUGCCGUAGGUCCCACCAGCUAUGUCGGAAUACCCUAUCUUGUUUAUAAGAGCUUUGAUACAUGCAAAAUAUUCGAAAACAAUGUCCGAACAUAUAAUUUUUGUCCCGUAAUAUAGCAAAGAUCACGAAAAGGCCAAAAAAAAUACAUUUCGGUCAAAAUUUGGAGUAGAAAAAAACCCCUUCCUCAUUCAUUCGACAACUCUCUUUGGGCUUUCCGAAAAGGUAUCACAUGCCAAGUUUGGUCUCACGGUCUAAAAGUUAUAGAGUCAUACAUUUUUCACAAAAAAAAGAAGAGAAAAAACCAAAAAAAGAGUGAUGAAACACGAGGACUUUCCUGGAGGUCACUCAUGCUAGUACUACUCUCGCCCAAGCACGCUUAACUGCGAAGUUCUGAUGGGAUCUGGUGCAUUGGUGAUGGUAUGAUCGCAUCUGUUACUACAUGCAAUGCAAUCGUAUCUAUUUUUUUUUGAAGAUUUUAUGAUCCAUUUGCAGUGUGUCCCACCAGCUAUGUAGGAAUACCCUAUCUUGUUUAUAAGAGCUUUGAUACAUGCAAAAUAUUCGAAAACAAUGUCCGAACAUAUAAUUUUUGUCCCGUAAUAUAGCAAAGAUCACGAAAAGACCAGAAAAAAUACAUUUCGGUCAAAAUUUGGAGUAGAAAAAAAACCCUUCCUCAUUCAUUGGACAGCUCUCUUUGGGCUUUCCGAAAAGGUAUCACAUGCCAAGUUUGGUCUCACGGUUUAAAAGUUAUAGAGUCAUACAUUUUUCACAAAAAAAAGAAGAGAAAAAACAAAAAAAAGAGUGAUGAACCACGAGGACUUUCCUGGAGGUCACCCAUCCUAGUACUACUCUCGCCCAAGCACGCGUAACUGCGAAGUUCUGAUGGGAUCUGGUGCAUUAGUGCUGGUAUGAUCACAUCUGUUACUACAUGCAAUGCAAUCGUAUCUAUUCUUUUUUGAAGAUUUUAUGAUCCAUUUGCAGUGGGUCCCACCAGCUAUGUAGGAAUACCCUAUCUUGUUUAUAAGAGCUUUGAUACAUGCAAAAUCUUCGAAAACAAUGUCCGAACAUAUAAUUUUCGCCCCGUAAUAUAGCAAAGAUCACGAAAAUGCCAAAAUAGUACAUUUAGGUCAAAAUUUGGAGUAGGAAAAAAAAACCUUCAUCAUUCAUUGGAUAGCUCUCUCUGGGCUUUUCGAAAAGGUAUCACAUGCCAAGUUUGGCCUCACGGUCUAAAAGUUAUAAAGUCAUACAUUUUUAACAAAAAAAAAAGAGAAAAACCGAAAAAAAGAGUUAUGAACCACGAGGACUUUCCUGGAGGUCACCCGUCCUAGUACUACUCUCGCCCAAACACGCUUAACUGCGGUGUUCUGAUAGGAUCAAGUGCAUUAGUGCUGGUAUGAUCGCAUCAGUUACUACAUGCAAUGCAAUCAUAUAUAUUCUUUUUUGAAGACUUUAUGAUCCAUUUGCCGUAGGUCCCACCAGCUAUGUAGGAAUACCCUAUCUUGUUUAUAAGAGCUUUGAUACAUGCAAAAUAUUCGAAAACAAUGUCCGAACAUAUAAUUUUUGUCCCGUAAUAUAGCAAAGAUCACGAAAAGGCCAAAAAAAAUACAUUUCGGUCAAAAUUUGGAGUAGAAAAAAACCCCUUCCUCAUUCAUUGGACAGCUCUCUUUGGGCUUUCCGAAAAGGUAUCACAUGCCAAGUUUGGUCUCACGGUCUAAAAGUUAUAGAGUCAUACAUUUUUCAGAAAAAAAAGAAGAGAAAAAACCAAAAAAAGAGUGAUGAAACACGAGGACUUUCUUGGAGGCCACCCAUCCUAGUACUACUCUCGCCCAAGCACGCUUAACUGCGAAGUUCUGAUGGGAUCUGGUGCAUUAGUGAUGGUAUGAUCGCAUCUGUUACUACAUGCAAUGCAAUCGUAUCUAUUCUUUUUUGAAGAUUUUAUGAUCCAUUUGCAGUGGGUCCCACCAGCUAUGUAGGAAUACCCUAUCUUGUUUAUAAGAGCUUUGAUACAUGCAAAAUAUUCGAAAACAAUGUCCGAACAUAUAAUUUUCGCCCCGUAAUAUAGCAAAGAUCACGAAAAUGCCGAAAUAGUACAUUAAGGUCAAAAUUUGGAGUAGGAAAAAAAAACCUUCCUCAUUCAUUGGAGAGCUCUCUUUGGGUUUUCCGAAAAGGUAUCACAUGCCAAGUUUGGCCUCACGGUCUAAAAGUUAUAAAGUCAUACAUUUUUAACAAAAAAAAAAAGAGAAAAACCGAAAAAAAGAGUUAUGCAACACGAGGACUUUCCUGGAGGUCACCCGUCCUAGUACUACUCUCGCCCAAACACGCUUAACUACGGUGUUCUGAUAGGAUCAAGUGCAUUAGUGCUGGUAUGAUCGCAUCAGUUACUACAUGCAAUGCAAUCAUAUAUAUUCUUUUUUGAAGACUUCAUGAUCCAUUUGCCGUAGGUCCCACCAGCUAUGUAGGAAUACCCUAUCUUGUUUAUAAGAGCUUUGAUACAUGCAAAAUAUUCGAAAACAAUGUCCGAACAUAUAAUUUUUGUCCCGUAAUAUAGCAAAGAUCACGAAAAGGCCAGAAAAAAUAAAUUUCGGUCAAAAUUUAGAGUAGAAAAAAACCCCUUCCUCAUUCAUUGGACAACUCUCUUUGGGCUUUCCGAAAAGGUAUCACAUGCCAAGUUUGGCCUCACGGUCUAAAAGUUAUAGAGUCAUACAUUUUUCACAAAAAAAAGAAGAGAAAAACCAAAAAAAAGAGUGAUGAAACACGAGGACUUUCCUGGAGGUCACCCAUCCUAGUACUACUCUCGCCCAAGCACGCUUAACGGCGGUGUUCUGAUAGGAUCAAUUACAUUUGUGCUGGUAUGAUCGCAUCAGUUACUACAUGCAAUGCGAUCAUAUAUAUUCUUUUUUGAAGACUUUACAAUCCAUUUGUCGUAGGUCCCACCAGCUAUGUAGGAAUCCCCUAUCUUGUUUAUAAGAGCUUUGAUACAUGCAAAAUAUUCGAAAACAAUGUUCGAACAUAUAAUUUUUCGCCCCGUAAUAUAGCAAAGAUCACGAAAAGGCCAGAAAAAGUACAUUUAGGUCAAAAUUUGGAGUAGAAAAAACCCCCCCUUCCUCAUUCAUUGGAGAGCUCUCUUUGGGCUUUCCGGAAAGGUAUCACAUGCCAAGUUUGGCCUCACGGUCUAAACCUUAUAGACUCAUACAUUUUUAACAAAAAAAAGAAGAGAAAAAACGAAAAAAAGAAGGAUACAACACGAGGACUUUCCGAGAGGUUACCCAUCUUCGUACUACUCUCGCACAAGUACGCUUAACUGCGGAGUUCUGAUGGGAUCUGGUGCAUUAGUGCUGGUAUGAUCGCAUCUGUUAUUACAUGCAAUGCAAUCGUAUCUAUUCUUUUUUCAAGACUUUAUGAUCCAUUUGCCGUGGGUCCCACCAGCUACGUAGGAAUACCCUAUCUUGUUUAUAAGAGCUUUGAUACAUGCAAAAUAUUCGAAAACAAUGUCCGAACAUAUAAUUUUCGUCCCGUAAUAUAGCAAAGAUCACAAAAAGGCCAGAAAGAGUACAUUUACGUCAAAAUUUGGAUAGAAAAAAAACAAAUAGAAGAAUUCCAUUUUGACUUCCUCAUUCAUCGGAAAGCUCUCUUUGGGCUUUCCGAAAAGGUAUCACAUGCCAAGUUUGGAAUCACGGUUUAAAAGUUAUAGAGUCAUACAUUUUUAACAAAAAAUAAAGAGAAAACCCGAAAAAUGAGGGAUGCAACACGAGGACUUUUCGGGAGGUCACCCAUCGUAGUACUACUCUCGCCCAAGCACGCUUAACUGUAGAGUUCUGAUGGGAUCCGGUUCAUUAUUGCUGGUAUGAUCGCAUCCGUUACUACAUGCAAUGCAAUCGUAUCUAUUCUUUUUUGAAGACUUUAUGAUCCAUUUGCCGUGGGUCCCACCAGCUAUGUUGGAAUACCCUAUCUUGUUUAUAAGAGCUUUGUUACAUGCAAAAUAUUCGAAAACAAUGUCCGAACAUAUAAUAUUUGCCCCGUAAUAUAGCAAAGAUCACGAAAAGGCCAGAAAACCUAUAUUAAGUUCAAAAUUUGGAGUAGAAAAAAACCAAUAGAAGAAUUCCAUUUUCCUUCCUCACUCAUCGGAGAGCUCUCUUUGGGGCUUUCCGAAAAGGUAUCACAUGCAAAGUUUGGCCUCACAGGCUAAAAGUUAUAGAGUCGUACAUUUUUAACAAAAAAAAAAAGAGAAAAGCCGAAAAAAAGAAGGAUGCAACACAAGGACUUUCCGGGAGGUCAGCCAUCCUAAUAUUACUCUCGCCCAAGCACGCUUAACUGUAGAGUUCUGAUGGGAUCCGGUGCAUUAGUGCUGGUAUGAUCGCAUCUGUUACUACAUGCAAUGCAAUCGUAUCUAUUCUUUUUUUAAGACUUUAUGAUCCAUUUACCGUGGGUCCCACCAGCUACGUAGGAAUAACCUAUCUUAUUUAUAAGAGCUUUGAUACAUGCAAAAUAUUCGAAAACAAUGUCCGAACAUAUAAUUUUCGUCCCGUAAUAUAGCAAAGAUCACAAAAAGGCCAGAAAGAGUACAUUAAGGUCAAAAUUUUGGAGUAGAAAAAAAAACCCUUCCUCAUUCAUUAAAGAGCUCUCUUUGGCAUUUCCGAAAAGGUGUCACAUGCCAAGUUCGGCCUCACGGUCUAAAAGUUAUAGAGUCAUACAUUGUUAACAAAAAAAAAGAGAAAAACCGAUUAAAAGAGUUAUGCAACACAAGGACUUUCCUGGAGGUCACCCGUCCUAGUACUACUCUCGCCCAAGCACGCUUAAAUGCGGAGUUCUGAUGGGAUCCGGUCCAUGAGUGGUGGUAUGAUCACAUCCGUUACUACAUGCAAUGCAAUCGUAUCUAUUAUUUUUUGAAGACUUUAUGAUCCAUUUGCCGUGGGUCCCACCAGCUAUGUAGGAAUACCCUAUCUUGUUUAUAAGAGCUUUGAUACAUCCAAAAUAUUCGAAAACAAUGUUGGAACGUAUAAGUUUCGCUCAGUAAUAUAGCAAAGAUCACGAAAAGGCCACAAAAAGUACAUUAAGGUAAAAAUUUAGAGUAGGAAAAAAAAACAAUAGGAGAAUUCCAUGUUCCUUCCUCAAUCAUCGGAGAGCUCUCUUUGGGCUUUCCAAAAAGGUAUCACAUGCCAAGUUUGGCCUCACGGUCUAAAAGUUAUAGAGUCAUACAUUUUUAACAAAAAAAAAUAGAGAAAAACCAAAAAAAAGAGGGAUGCAACACGAAGACUUUCCUGGAGGUCACCCAUCCUAGUACUACUCUCGCCCAAGCACGCUUAACUGCGGUGUUCUGAUAGGAUCAAGUGCAUUAGUGCUGGUAGGAUCGCAUUCGUUACUACAUGCAAUGCAAUUAUAUAUAUUCUUUUUUGAAGACUUUAUGAUCCAUUUGCGGUAGGUCCCACCAGCUAUGUAGGAAUACCCUAUCUUGCUUAUAAGAGUUUUGAUACAUGCAAAAAUAUUCGAAAACAAUGUCCGAACAUAUAAUUUUUGUCCCGUAAUAUAACAAAGAUCACGAAAAGGCCAAAAAUAGUACAUUUCGGUCAAAACAUGGAGCAGAAAAAAAACCCCUUCCUCAUUCAUCGGAGAGCUCUCAUUGGGCUUUCCGAAAAGAUAUCACAUGCAAAGUUUGGCCUCACGGUUUAAAAGUUAUAGAGUCAAAUAUUUUUAACAAAAAAAAGAGAGAAAAACCGAAAACAAAGAGGGAUGCAACACGAGGACUUUCCGGAAGGUCACCCAUCCUAGUACUACUCUAGCCCAAGCACGCUUAACCGCGGAGUUCUGAUAGGAUCCGGUGCAUUAGUGCUGGUAUGAUC